ACAAUAUGGCACAAAAUUGAUCUUUGGAUUACUCCACCAUGUUCGGUUACAAGCCACUCCUAAGCACAAUCCAAACUAGGAUGACAAAAAGAUCAACUCACACCUCUCUCCCUCUGCCAAAGGCUCUCACAAAGCAAAUGAGAAAAUCCCCACCAAAACAACCAAAGGGAUGGCUACCCCAACCAGCCAUCUCUCCUAUAUAUAGGCAUCUGGAAAAUAUCCAGAAUGCCCUUACAUGAAGCACACAACUCAAAUACCCUCCAGGGCUAAAAUUGUCCAACGUUUUCCUCGUACAUCGGAUGGACCCGGCGCCUUCACGACUUCGCUUCGCCUCAACGCAAGCUUCGUGUGGUGUCACGCAUCCUCUGACUCGACGCCGUCCAGCCGCACCGGAAUCGUCCCCCGAUUUUGAGGCCAAACUGGUCAAACCCUCUUGCACACCCCGCAGGCGUGACUCAUCCCUGAUUUUGAGGCCAAUCCGAUCAAACCCUCUCGCAUGCCCUGCAAGGCAUGAUUCACCCCCUUGUUUUGAGGUCAAACCAGUCAAACCCUCUUGCACACCGCGUACGACGUGACUCACCGAUGUUGACGCGUGUCUGAUCUCCGCCAAGCCUUCGACGCCUCCAAGUCUUUCGCUCCUGGCUCCCGGGCCACCUACUCGACUCGCCUCCGUCCCGCUUGACUCGACCGACGCCGUCUCCAUCUCAUCCGUGUACUCUUGCUCUUUCGUGCACCAUGUGGAUCGUCCAUGACUCCGCUCGGACUCCUCGGGUCCCUCGGUCCAAACAUUCAUGCCCACCCUUCACAACGCUAGUACAUUGGUAUGAACCUUUCGCUUGACCUUCACCUCAUGCCAUCGACCGCCAUGUCGCAUCCUACACCUGCACAUCACAAGCCAAGAUACACAACACACAAGAUAUGUUUUAUACAAACACCGCAACACAACUCACACAUCUGGUUAGCCGUUAGCAUAAUCAAGUGCAUAUGGAAUAUGGACUCAACCGGUAAAGCCUCAAAUCAUCUAGUUAAUCACUCAUCACAAAUAGACCAAGACACAUGUCAACUUGGUCUCUCAAUCUCCUCCUUGAUAAGUGCAUUGACAAAAGAUGAUUUGAAAGCAAAAGAGAACUCAUUCAAGUGCCCAAAAGCCAAAUAAAAGGAAACACAAGGCAACUUGAUAUGAAAAAGGAUCAUGCAAGCUCCGAACAAAAAACUCUAGGUUCCCAAAGAAGAGACAAAAAACUUAACACAACCGAAGAGUCAAGCAAAAAACACAAGAGCUUCAUGAAUCCCAAAAUGCCAUCAAAGCCAUUUCAAUAUUUGUCAAACGCUCAUCACAAUUAAAUCAAGGUUCAUAUCAACUUGAUUUUCUCAAUCUCCCCCUUGAUGAGUGUGUUGAAACCAUUCAAGCACAAAGAAAUGGUUUGAGAGGCAAAAGUCAAAAAUCUCAUCCAAGUGAUCGAAAGCUAAGUAAAAACUAAGAUCAAAGUCACUUGAGAUGAGAACAACCAUAAAAGCCAAGUUGUGAAACCAAUUAGGCAAAGCUCCCAUUCAAGUGAUCGAAAGCCAUGUAAACGCUAUGAUUAAAGUCACUCGACAUGAGAAGCAUCACAAAGACCAAAUCAACUUGGAAAAGUCUCAGUUCCCAAAGACAUGGGCAACGGCUCGACACAACCGAGACAAAGAACACAUGAUCUCUCAAGAAGAGGCAGAAAGGGCUCAACACCAAUCAUGUGAAGAUCGAAAACACAGGAUCCCUCAAGAAGAGGCAGAAAUAGCUCAAAACCAAUCAUGUGACGAUCGAAAACUCAAACCAAAUGCCAGCUCCUCAAGAAGAGGUAAAAAGCUCAACACGACCGACAAAAGAGCAAAAGAGAGCACAAAACUAGCACAAAGCUUAGAAGCUACCCCUGAACACAUGCACUCCCCCUGAAAACAUGCCACAAUGAAAUGCAUGCACAAAAGCAAAAGAAUGCAUGCUCCCCCUCAAAUGCAAAACUCCCCAUUAAAUGCAAGACUCCCCCUUAAAUGUAAACAUCAAGAUCGUAUGAGAGCACAAAAUGCAUGCCAUGGAAUGUAAAACUUACCAAGCUUCUCAAAUAUAACACAAAGCACUUACAAAGGCUAGAAGUGAGAUAAUGCACAAACAAAUAGAUCAUAAAGAGCAAUUCAUCGCCAUCAAGAUGGNNNNNNNNNNNNNNNNNNNNNNNNNNNNNNNNNNNNNNNNNNNNNNNNNNNNNNNNNNNNNNNNNNNNNNNNNNNNNNNNNNNNNNNNNNNNNNNNNNNNUGACAAGUUUUGCAGUUUAUAAAAAGUAUCACCACCAUGAGCAAGUAUCUAGUCAUGUCAUUCAAGCAAGAAGCAAACUAGGCCAUCAGAGCUCAUACAAGGAAGAUACAUUCUCAACAAGAGAUCAUUGCAAACACCCACAUAUGCAUCACAAGUCAUGUCAAGGCUUGUUGAAACCAUGUGCCUACUUCUUUUUGGUAGACAUCAUGUAACAACUAAGCAAGCAAGGAUAUCAACAUUAAGCACAAAAACUUGGUGAAUUACUGAAUUUUUCUUAUCAUAAUUUUUCAUCAUUCACAUUAAACAAGUUACAUGAAGUGCCUUUGCGGCACAAAGAAUCCAUGCUUCCCCAAGGAAUGCAUUAUGGGCUAAAUAUUUGCAAUGAUACCUAAAUCUUUGAUCCAAUUGAAAAGAACAUAGAUUCCAAGUAGAAGCUAAACAUGGAGCUAGCAUUCAAGCAAGAGCAAUGCAUAAAUAGGUAGCUAGUCAGGGGUGAUAAGCAUUUCAGAAUUCAUUAUUCAAGAUUAACAUUUGAUUCAGAAAAGCAUUUAGCUCAACAUGGUUAUAUGACAAUAUCAUCAAGAGAAUAUGCUGCACAUUGCUACACAAUCACCAACCAAUGCACUAGCUCACAAAUAGCAUAAGGAAAUGCUAAGGAUAUAUAGGAGAAGCUCAUCUAGUUCAAAGUGUACAAGGUGCAAUAUGAUAUAAAUGCAAUGCAAUGCUAAAAGAGAUGGGGCUCAGCUCAAAAUCAAGAAAGUUCAUGAGGGUCAAACCAAUCUAGGAAAAGCUCCGUUGCCAAAGAAAAACUGCCAAGGAUCCCAAUUGAGUACCAUAGAAAGGAUACCAAUUGAAGGAUCAAAAAUUGAUAUCACUUGAAGAAGAUGGAAUCCAAUUGAAAGAUCAAAUGUGAUAACAAUUAAAAGAUCAAAAGCGGAUAUCAAAAAUCAAAGCAAGUCCUUGGUCCAAACUCCCCCUCGAAUGAAGCUGAACUCCCCCUCAACCAAAGACACCUAGCAAAGAAAAGCUAGAAAAAGAAGGGGUAAAAGAAAAGUUCUAACUCCAAUAAAAAAAGAAGAGAAAAUGCAACCUAAAGAUAAGGGAAGCCCAAAAACAAAAUAAAGCUCAAUUCAUGUCACACAAAGCAAUGAUGAUACCAAUGAGAGGAAUUAGAGCAUUGCAACAUGAUUCUACAUUUAUGAAUAAAAGAUUGGGCAAGCAAACAUGUCAACAAGGUGCGAAGGAUUAUACAAAGAUACUAAGCUAAAAUGAUACCAAAUGAACAAUAUACCAUACCCAAUACAAAGACUAAGCAAAAGCAUGGUACGAUGUUCAUGUGAAUCAUCCACCAAGAUAUAUUAAAAAGCUAGCAUGACAAGAUACACAUGAAGAUCACACAUGCUAACAUGAAUAGGUGGCUAGCCUACCAUGGUAUAUUCACAGCAUGAUACAAGUAUAAAACUUGCAAAAGAGUCCACAAGUGAAUAGUAUACACGAAAGGAAAAACUCACUAUACAAGUGUACAUCCAAACAGUGUGGAGAGCCAUCAAGUCUUGAUCACCUCAAGCAAAAGAUCAAGUCCCUUCGAGCUCAUGUCCUCCACCUGCAUCCCCAUACCUACACAUGAGGGGACAAAGAAGACCGAGUCUUGCAUCCCAAAGGGUUAGUAAGCAUAUACUUGGGAAUCCAAAACUUAGUCACACGGGUAAAAGAUGCACUCAACUUAUCAUGUGGGUUAGCAUGAUGCAAAUGCCGGUUCAAAUGAGAUGAUUUUGAAAUACCCUUGGAACCAUGCCUCAAAGAAGCAACUUGAGAAGAAGAACGAGUGCUACCACUAGCAAAAAGACAAUGAUCCCCCGGGGUCUUAAGAGAAGAACCAACACAAGCACCAUGAGAACCAUGGCGUGGACCAACAUAAGAAUAACUAGAAGCAUGUCCACGAGCAUGACCUAACUCACUAGAAAAGUAGUCAUAAAACCCAUCAAUGAAAUGUGGCUUCUUACUAGGCUCACAAGUGCUCAUGCCAUGAGAUGGGCUAUGAACAACCAAAGGCCUAGAAACACGAGUUCGUCACAUUUGUCUUGCAUGACGAUAACAAAAGCUAUCUUGAUGCCCAUCUUUCUCAUAAUAGGAGCAAUGGUACAAAGGCCUUUUUGUAGGCACGGUCCGAGAGGAUGAAUCAUCAUUCUCAUUCAAGUGAGAAAUCCCUUGGGACUUAGAGCAAAAAGCAUCAACAACACCAUUUGACUUGGUGCCCAACAUUAGGUUCACACGUGCCAUGGGAAAGGCUACAUGGCUUUCUAAAAGCUUUGGCACGCACACAUCGCUCAUGCUUGAUAUGGCGAAAACAAAACUCAAUGGUAUGCCCAUCUUACAAAAGGUGCAAUGAAACUUUGGUUUGGGAGUAUGAGUUACAAAAGUGUGAGAAGCACCCUUGCCACUUGAAUUAUCUUGAGCAAUACUGGAAGAAGCAACAAGCUUAAGAGUAGCUAUAGAAGAGCUAUCCAAAGCACUAGCACAAGUACUAGCAUCCAAAGACUCACGCUCAAUAGAAGAAAGCAACUCCAGUUGGGAAGAAGCAAUUUUGGAAACACCAACAUCGGAGUGAUAAGAAUUGCAAGAAUCAAAAGACUUAGCACUAAGAAUCUUGCAUCUUGUGGCUAAAACCUCAUUUUCAUGUUUGAGACGAUCACAAGUACCACAUGGAGCAUUUCUCAAAUUAUCCAUCUCCUUUUCAAUACACUUAGCAUAUGUAGUACGCAAGAGUUUAUUUUCUUUCUCAAGGUUGGCACUCAUCUCAUUGCGCUCAACCAACUUGGCACUCAUAUCAUCGCGCAUUUGCUUCAAAGUUAAAACUUCAUUUUCCAAUUCAAUGCAUGAUGUGCAAAUAAGACCGCAUGAACAAUCAUCAUCAUUCACAUCACGCACGAUAUCAUGAUUAUCACAAGAAGUAAGGCAAGCAUCAUCAUCAAGAACCAAAGAGCACAUGCUACAAGGCAUAGACUUUAUUUCACAAAUUUCAACCCUAGCAUGCUCAAUUUGUUCAACACAUGUGGUAUGAGUCAAUUUUAAGUCAUUAAUUUCAGCAAACAAAGACUCAUAUGAAACACAUGGCAAAGAAGCAUUAGACUUCAAAAGAGCAAUUUCAUCCUAGUCUUAUCAAGAUCAUUAUUCAAAGCAACACAUGAAUUACAUGGCAUAGAGGUAUUGGAUUUCAACAUUGCAUUUUUAGAUUUUAAAGCAUCAUAAUCAAUUGAGAGCUCAUCAAGUAGUCUUCUACAAGAUUCAAGUUGCUUGUCACCAAGAUAAACAUCUCUUUUUAGUUUCUCAUUUUCAAUGUGCAAAACAUCACAAGAUUUGCAUGGUAGAGGUAAGCUAGACUUGCAUGAAAUUAAAGCAUUCACAUUAUCAAGUCUAGACAUGUCCAAAUUUUUCUUAAGCUUAGCAAUCGUCUCGCCAUGAGCACAAAGGCAAGUGAACAAACCAAUUAUACCUUGGGAGAGUUUACCUCUACUCAUCUUGUGAAGCUUGCGUUGGAGAUCAUCUUCUUGAGGCAUCUCAUCCAUCAAAAGACGCAUCAAUGCCAUCACUUCAUCAUCCUUGUUUAGAUCAUCCCGCUUCUUUCUGCUUUGAUGUGACCACACCACCUAGGGACAAAGAACCAAUAGAACAAGAGCUUGGUGCCAAAACUCAAAGCACCGGUUAGGAUUAGCCAAAAACAAGCUCAAAUCGUGAAAACCAAAUCCGCAAGCAAAAGCGCUCUUUACCUUGUCGCCCCGUGGAUCACAAAGCUGAUUAAAGUUGUGUGAUUCUUAACCAAGCUCUAAUACCAAUUGAAGGACCGAAAAGAUGACCAGAGGGGAGGUGAAUGGGAGCUGAUUCAAAUUUUCUCAAAGAAUCUCGACUAAAGUCCCAACCUAAUCCACAAAACUCUCUUCUAGCAAUAUCAAGUCCCCUUAGCUAUGCAGGAGCUAAUGGACCUAGGAAUAUUGCUAGGAACCCAAUUUGAGACUAGUGGAAGCAAGAAAGAGCCCAAACAAGUAUCGGAAGAAGAAAUUUGAAAACCAACACUAAAGUUUGGAAAAUUCCGGAAAAUCCUUCGGAAACUUCCGGACUUUCGAAAAUUUCCGGAAAACCUUUGGAAAAUUGCAAAACUCUUGAAAACAGCCUUCGUGAGGAAGUUGGAAAAAUCUGAAACUCGAUCAAACGACCUCCAAAAAUUAGAAAAUUUAAACCAUAGACUCACAACAACAUACCAAAGGUAUUUUCCAAAGGAUCAAGUUGAAAAGCCCAAGAAUUGGUCACUAGAUUCAAAGGAUUUGGGAAGGGCAUAAGAAAGGGGAUUUUCGGGGAAUCUCAAAAUUCAAGCCAAAUUUGUGAGGGAUUUGAGGGAGAUCACAUUAUAGAUGCUCACACGGGUCAUAGCAACAAUUUCUCCUAACAAAUCUCACGGGAUUUGGGCUCAAACGCGAAGAACGCAAAAUCCCCAAAAAUACCUCCAAAAAUACCGAGAAAGAUAAAUUUUAGAUUCAAAGAGGAUGGAACAAUAUGGCAUAAAAUUGAUCUUUGGAUUACUCCACCAUGUUCGGUUACUAGCCACUCCUAAGCACAAUCCAAACUAGGAUGACAAAAAGAUCAACUCACACCUCUCUCCCUCUGCCAAAGGCUCUCACAAAGCAAAUGAGAAAACCCCCACCAAAACAAGCAAAGGGAUGGCUACCCCAACCAGCCAUCUCUCAUAUAUAUAGGCAUCCGGAAAAUAUCCAGAAUGCCCUUACAUGAAGCACAUAACUCAAAUACCCUCCAAAGGUAAAAUCAUCCAACGUUUUCCUCCUAUAUCAGAUCAUUGCUUACCCUUGUGCUUGUCAGCUAUCAUGUUCAAGUAGGAAACACAGCGCUUGGAAAGUUGAUCAAGACUCUCCCCACCAACCUACCAAAAAAAUGAACGGAUUAGAUAACUAGUAUACAACAACCACAAGGAAAAAUGACUGUCACUGAUUCAGAAGGAUUCAAGGUAGCUUUGGGAGGAGAAUGGAAGGUAGUUACAGGAAUUUCUUGGUUUCUGUCAUCUGAUGAGAAAGCCUUGUAAGCUUCAGGCUUGGUACUGACGGCAUCAUCAAACUUCAAACCGUGGAGAUCUCCCAUGUGCCUUUCUCUCAGUGACUGAUCAAACACCAGCUGAAACAAACAGUAGUUAAUUUAUUUAAAACAGCAAUUCGAAAAAUUAGCAUACAUUAUGGAGACAUGACAAGCAGUAAUUCAAGUUGUCCCAGAGGAUUCGUACAUUGGGUACAUGGCAAGCUAUUGCGAUAGUUUGUGCAGUCUCGGCAGCGCGCUUCAAAUCAGAGGAGUACACAGCAGCUGGCUUGGCUUCUUUGGACAACCGACGGGCAAGCUUCAGGUUUUUUUUAAUAAUUGAUAAAAUCAGAACCACGUAAAAGCAUGAUUCCGAGACAUAACCGCACAAAGUAUAACUACCAUGAUAGCUUGCUGCCUACGGAGUACCAGUCUCAUUCAGCUCCGGAUCCAUAAAGAGUUGAAUACCGAGCCUCGUGAAGGAGGAGAAAACUAAUGGAACAAUGGUGAGAAGGGACUUCUAUACUGAAGUCUGAAUUGCUGAUACUGUUAGCAACAAGCACCUGAUUCAACUGGAGGAGCCAUUUCAAGCAUAAUCAUUGAAAUCACAAAACAGUUUUGAAAAGAUCGAAUCAUCCGGAAAAAAGGAGGAUUCUCUUUUUCCUUCUUCCUCGGUACAAAUUGCAGGUGGAGAAGGACAGGGAGAGAACUGACCUGAAUGAUGCGGGAGGCGUUCCACGACGUCUCUUCAUGCCGCACCACCACCACCUCCGCGAAGUUCUCGCCGUCCUGCGAUGCAGGUGACAUUGCUCGAUGGGCGCUAGCCGCUGCAGUGAAGAGGAGAGGGACGGACCUUCCAUCCAGGUGCUUUUGUUCCAAUUGACUUUGGAUCCGAGACUAAAGUGUCUUUAGUCCCGGGUCAAAAAUGAUGCACCGAAGGCUACCGACGGAAGGGGCUUUAGUCCCGGUUGUAAAGACCAACUGGGACUAAAGCCUCCCCUUUAGUCCUGGUUGUAACUGCUAAAAGAUCUGGUACCGAUGCCACCCCUUUGUCCCAGUUGGUAAUUCCAACUGGGACUAAAUCUUUUGUUCCGGUUGAAUAGACCAACCGGGGCAAGGGGGCUUUAGUCCCGGUUGGUAGCUUCAACCGGAACAAAACGCCCUUCACGCGCCUCCUUCUCUUUCCACGUUAUCUUUCUCCUCACAUCCUUCCUUCCUUAUCCUCGCACAACACUCCUCUCCACUUCUUAUCCACCGACGCCUCCUCUCCUCUCUACUCCUUAUUCACUGGCACCUCCUCUCCUCCACUCUCCUCUCUGCGCUGCCGCCACCCCAUCCCCCUCUGCUGCCCCUCCCCUUCCCCCUCUGCUCGCCCCUCACUAGUAGUGAGCGACAACGGGGCGAGGGCAGGGUAGUGGCGCGCGGGGGAGCGGUGUCGACCAGCUAGAGGUGUCCCCAUGAGCUAAUGCGGCUGGGCAGCGGGUGGCCGAGCGGUGCCGGGCAGGCUGCAGUGGGCGAGGGCGGAGCGGAGGUGGACAGAGGUGGGUGGCGGCAGGUGAAGGCGGAGCCGAGGUUGUCGGUGGCGGAGCGGAGGCGGGCGGCGACUGGCGGAGGCGAGCAGUGGCGGAGCCGAGGCAGUGGCGGCAGGCGGAGGCCCAUUUUUUUUUAUUUUUUACCUUUUUAGUCCGGGUUGGUAAUACCAACCGGGACUAAAGGACGUCUUUAGUCCCGGGUGAAUGACUCAUGACUAAAGGACCUCCCCUUUUAUCUCGAAAACUUAGUCCCGGUAGGAUUUUCGUGAUCUAUGGCCCUAUCCAACCUGGACUAAAGUCGCAUUUUCCACCAGGGGCAGCAUCCGGAAGGCUGGAAUCACAACCACCUCUCUUGUCCUAUAUAUAUAAUUACCCCGUCCACUUGUCAUAUGUGUUCUUAAUAUUUCUCAUAGUUGACUGUAAUCUCGUCUUGGUUUAUUUAAGUUAGAAAGAAACACGGGAAGAGCAACAGCGCGUUAAUUGGUUUCUGCUCCAAGUCUAAAAGUCUUCCAAGUUUGUUGUACCAGAAUGCUGAUGAUUGCUAUUCAGCCAAGCAAACGAAACACGGUUGCAGAGUGAUGAUACAUCAAGUUCAUGACAUUUAUACUAGACCACACGCCCAAGAAAAUGCAAUGUAAAAACACGGAGAGGCGGAGGCGGUCGGCGGCCGCGGCGUGAGGGCAGAGACGGUGGACGCGGCACGAAUUGAAGAACCUCAAAACGCCGCGGCAAGCGGCAUUGUGGCCGUUGAAUGGCGGGGUUGUAGCCCUCAAGCCGCAUCCAACCAUCACCAAAUGCACUAUGCGGGAAGCCAUCUCCGGUGAGGUGUCCGGCGUCCCCGAACUUCUCCAGGAUCCAACGGCCAUCGGAACCGGAGAUAUGGACAACGCUGAUUGAGGUGUUAGGAAUUUUCUUGCCAACCGAGAUCGUUGGAUCGGCGUGCCUGCAGAUUUCCUCUAUGACUGCCUCAUGGGAGACGACGACCACCCGCUCACCUUUUAACGCAACACGCGACAGCUUGAAAUUCACCACCAGGUGCAAGUUUUGACCAUAUAGAGAGCACAAGAAAUUACUAUGUGGAUUAGUGCUUACCCUUGUGCUUCUUGGCGAUUUCGUUCAAGCGGGAAACACAACGCUCAGAAAGUUGAUCAAGACUCUCCCCGCCACCCUGUCCAAAGGAGAUGACUAGUGAGUAAUAUAUAGCAACCAACAGGGGAAAAGCAUGCCUAAGCCUAGCUUUUACUUCGACUAAGACUAAGUACAACUUUGAGAGGAGAAUGGAAAUUAGUUACAGGUAUUUCUUGGUCUCUGCCACCGCAUGCGAAAGCCUUGUAAGCUUCAGAUCUCUUGGCAUCGUCAAUGGUCCAACCUUGGAACAAUCCCAUGUGCCUUUCCGUCAGUGCCCGAUCAAUCACCAGCUGAAACAAACAGCAGCCCAUUUAUUCAUGAAGCGAGAAAAAUUAGCACAAACUAUUACUAGUAUUCAAAGAAUGUUCAUACAUCAGAAUCAGAUACGCAGCAAUGCUCUGCGAUCGUUUGCGCAGUCUCGGAAGCACGCUUCAAGUCAGAGGAGUAGACGGCAGCUGGCUUGGCUUCUUCCGACAGACGACGGGCAACCUUGAGGGUUUGAACAAAAUCAGAAUCACGUACAUAUCUCAAGUCAUGACGAUCUCACAAAGUAUGGCGUACCUUGGCAGCUUGCUGCCUACCAGUUUCGUUCAGCUCCUGAUCGAUCCGUCCCUGUUGAAACUUAAAAUAAGCCUUAACACAUGUUGUAUUGCAUCGCAGAGGGAGAAUCAUAUCUAAGUGAUGCGAUAAGUAGCAAGCUGUGACAGGACAGGAUGAAGAAGAAGCGACCUGAAUGAUGCGGGAGACGUUCCAAUCCGUCUGUCCAUGGCGCACCAACACCACCUCCGCGAAGUGCUCGCCAUGCGGCGAUGCAGGUGCCAUUGAUCGAUCGGCCGGCGUUAUUGCUGCAGAGGGAACGAAGGGGAGAUGGAUGGUCUUGCUCUAGCUGGCUUGCAGAGGUUCCUUGAAAUCUGGAACCUCUCUGCUCUCUUGUGCUAUAUGAUUGGCCAUCUGGGGCGACUUCAUAGGAGGCCAGAGAGGCCAGAGAGUAGAUUAUAAUUCGUGUACGUUUUGAAGAUGGAAAGAUGGCGACCUGCUAGUUGACUAAUAAAUUAGAAACACGGUUUGAUUUGGUUUGGUUUCGAGAGCAAUUUUGGUUUAGUUUGGUUUCAAGAGCAAUUUGAGCAACAACACCCAUUCCAACAGCAGGUUCGGCUUCUCCAGCAAGUACGUGGCCAACUAAGCUGGUCGGCGGACCAAAUUAAAGAAGCUAUCCACUUUCUUCUCCAUCAAGAUACCCUGUGCUAUAUAAUUACCCCCAUCCACAUCAAGAUACCCUGUGCUAUAUAAUUACCCCCAUCCACUUGUCAUCUGCGUUCUUAAUAUUUCUCAGAGUUGACUGUAAUCUCAUCUUGGUUUAUUUAAGUUGGAAAGAUAAUUGCCUGCUAUUUAAGAAAAAAAAACACGGGAAGAGCAACAGCGCGUUUGGUUUCUGCUCCAAGUCUAAAGUCUUCCAAGUUUGUGGAAUCAUUAGAAUGCUGAUGAUUGCUAUUCAGCCAAGCAAAGGAAACGCGGUUGCAGAGUGAUGAUACAUCCAAGUUCAUGACAUUUAUACUAGAGCACACGCCCAAGAAAAUGGCAAUGUAAAAACACGGAGAGGCGGAGGCAGUCGGCGGCCGCAGUGAGAGGUGUGCGAGCGCGAGGGCGGAGGUGGCGGACGCGGCACGAAUUGAAGAACCUCAAAACGCUGCGGCAAGCGGCAUCGCGGCCGAUGAACGGCGGGGUUGUACCCCUCAAGCCCCAUCCAACCAUCACCAAAUGCACUAUGCGGGAAGCCAUCUCCGGUGAGGUGUCCGGCGUCCCCGAACUUCUCCAGGAUCGAACGGCCAUCGGAAUCGGAGACAUUUACAACGCUGAUUGAGGUGUUAAGAAUUUUUCUGCCAACCGAGAUCGUUGGAUCGGCGUGCCUGCAGAUUUCCUCUAUGACUGCUCAUGGGAGACGACGACCACCCGCUUACCUGUUAACGCAACACGCGACAGCUUAAAAUUCACCACUAGGUGCAAGUUUUAACCAUACAGAGAGCACAAGAAAUUACUAUGUGGACCGGUGCUUACCCUUGUGCUUUUCGGCGAUUGCGUUCAAGCGGGACACAGCGCUCGGAAAGUUGAUCAAGACUCUCCCCGCCACCCUGUCCAAAAGGAGAUGACUAGUGAGUAAUAUAUAGCUUUUACUUUAACUAAGACUAAGGUCCCGUUUGGUAGGGCUUCUCAAAGUGCUUCUCCACCGGUUUUUGGUGAAGUCCUACUAAUGGGUCAAUUUCAAAACGGCUUCACCACCAAAGCCAGGGAGAAGCCGCAAAACGGCUUACACUAGAGAGGAGAAGCCAAAAAAAGUGGCUUCACCGGCUUCUCCUCCCUCUCCAAGCAUUAAGUGAUCAUAAAAUUACAUAUAUUGCCAUUGAGAAGCCGUUUUACCAAAUGUUUUGCAAAAUGGCUUCAGCUUCACUAAAAAAGCCACUCCACCGAAAAAGCCGAAGCCGAAGCGGAAAUUACAUAUAUUGCCAUUGAAAAAUUACUAUGUGGAUCGGUGCUUACCCUUGUGCUUCUCGGCGAUUGCAUUCAAGCGGGAAACACAGCGCUCGGAAAGUUGAUCAAGACUCUCCCCACCACCCUGUCCAAAAGGAGAUGACUAGUGAGUAAUAUAUAGCUUUUACUUCAACUAAGACUAAUUAAGUACAACUUUGAGAUCAGAGGAGAAUGGAAAUUAGUUACAGAUAUUUCUUGGUCCUGCCACCGUGAGCGAAAGCCUUGUAAGCUUCAGAUCUCUUGGCAUCGUCAAUGGUCCAACCUUGGAACAAUCCCAUGUGCCUUUCCGUCAGUGCCCGAUCAAUCACCAGCUGAAACAAACAGAAGUCCAUUUAUUCGGAUGAUAUAUAGAACACCAAUAAUUCGUGAAGCGAGAAAAAUUAGCACAAACUAAUACUAGUAUUCAAAGAAUGUUCAUACAUCAGAAUCAGAUACGCAGCGCGAGGACGGAGGUGGCGGACUAGGCACAAAUUGAAGAACCUCGAACGGCCGCGGCUAGCGGCAUCGCGGCCGUUGAACGACGGGGUUGUAGCCCUCAAGCCGCAUCUAACCGUCCACGGAUUUGGGCCAUUGAAUAGCUUAUUUUUUUUAAAGAACAGGAGGGUAAACCCCUACUGAUUAUAUAUUAAAUUGAAAGGAUACAAAGAAAAUGGCACAAAUCUAAAGAGAGAAAAUAAAAAAAAAGGAAGAGGAAGAGAAAAAGAAAAAAGGGAAAAAGACAAGCCUAGGAGUACAAGCUAAGAGAUUACAGAGUAUGUAACCAGACAUUCAUAGCAAGCACUAAAGCAGGGUGCGCUCUAUGGGGUAACAAGGAAAAUUCAGACAUGAAUUUCCUUUUGCACAAUUCCACUGAUGGAUUGAACAUCCAGUCAUUCCUAGUCAUCCAGAUGCUCCAUGACAUAAGAAUUAUGAUUUCCAUGAAGAAAGGAACAUGCUCCAUGACAUAAGAAUUAUGAUUUCCAUAAAGAAAGGAACAGCAAGCUUGUCCUUGAUUUGUUUGAAAAUCCGAAGGAUUGGUUUGGUGGUGAUAACUGAUACUCCAAUUGAAUUCCAGCAUGCUUUGGCAAAGUUACAUUGGAGGAAUAGGUGUGCCACAUAUUCCAUCUUUUGUAAUAUACAUAGUUCGCAAGUGUAGGAGUCAAGAUCCAUUUGUUUCCUUCUCAAUAUAUCUCUUGUACUCAGACGAUCUUUGAGCAAUAACUAGAAGAAGACCUUGUGUUUGAUCUGACAUUUAGAUUUCCAAAGUCAGAAAUAUGCUGGAUGGGUAUUCCUCUACCCAAUGAUAGCCUUAUAUGCUUUGGAUGUUGAAAACAUUGAAUUGCCCCAAAUGUAUGUACACCUAUCAGGUUCUUGUACGGUAUUCAUGCCAUCAAUGAGUUGUUGCAGGAUAUGGUAUUCAUGCCACCAAUGAGUUGCUGCAGGAUAAUAAAUUGUGAAUGUGCCUGGGUUGUUAGGGGUAAGUUGAAAUUCUGGAUGAAACUUGGUUAGUUGACAGCCGCUUUGAAGGUGAUGUUGUAGUCUUUGGCAAAUGAGAUAAGCUCCGGAUGAACCUGUGAUUGCACUGCUCCAUUCCAAAAGUCUUUUCAAAAGAGUACUGUGGAGCCUUCUGCCACUAGAACUGAAGCAAUUCCUUUGUAUGUAUCCAAUAAUUUGACUACAUCCCUCCAUCAAAAGGAGCCUUUUCUUUGCUAACCCAGUAGUCGACCAUUAGCAUAGUAAUUUUCCCAUACAAUGUUGACCCAAGGAGUGUCAACCUUGGAGAAGAACUUGUGCAGGAACUUUAGCAACAUAGCAUCAUUAUGUGUAGCAAGAUUGAAAACUCCCAAUCCACCUUGUUUCUUAGGCAAACAUACCAAAGGCCAAGCAGCUGUGGAAGGCUUCUUGGAGUUCAUGUCUGAUCCCCUCCAUAAGCAGUAUUUCCUAUAUUUGUGCAAUUUUAGCGUUGAUGUAUAGAAAACUACUGAUGAAGAGAAGACCGAGUUAACCAUCUCCAACUUGCCAACUUGACUCAAAAAAAGGGACAUGUUGCUUAACCUCUUUUCUAUCUUUUGUAUGAGGGGCAGAAAAUUUUCCAUGUUAGGCUUGGUGGUUCCUAGGGGCAGUCCCAGAUAUGUGAAGGGGAGAGAACCUUUUUGACAGUUAAAAGUUGUGGCAAGAUUCUCAAGAUUUGCUUCAGAAAUGUUUAGGGGUACUAUAGCCGAUUUACUAUAAUUGACCUUCAGUCCAGUGGAGGCAGCAAAGGUGCUAGGAAGGUCUUUGAGGAAUAAGUGCUGGUUUGGGCAGGCCUCCAUAACAAGUAGGGUGUCAUCUGCAUAUUGGAUAAUUGGAAAAUUUGUCCCUGCUCUUUCUGGAAUUGGUAGUUUAAGAAAUCCUUGGUCUUUGGCUCUAUUGAUGACUGAUUGAAGUAGGUCUGGUGCCAGGACAAAAAGAAGAGGUGAGAGGAGAUCACCUUCCCUUACUCCUCUUCUGAAGUGAAAGACUUUCCCUAGAACUCCAUUCAGAAGAAUUGAAGAUGUGUCUGAUCCUAGUAUGUCUUUGAUCCAAUUAAUCCAUCUAUCCCCGAAGCCUUGUGUUUUAGAAUUUGUAGAAUGUUCUGAUGUUCCAUCUUAUCAAAGGCUUUUCCAAAGUCUAGUUUCAGAAUCACUAAUUCUCUUUUAGAGGCCUUGCAGAUAUGUAGAUAUUCAAUGACCCAAGCCAGAUAGUCGUGUAUAGAUCUUGAUCUAAUAAAACCAUAUUGAUUUUUGUGGAUGAAUCUUAGGAUGACCUGCUGUAGCCUGUCUACAAGUAGCUUGGUGAGUAGCUUAAUUGUGGAGUUCAGGAGGGAAAUUGGUCCAAAGUCUCCAACUAAGGAUGGACAGUUCUUCUUGGGGAUCAGGAUGAUGUAUGAAGCAUUGAUGCUUCUUAGACAUAUAUUUCCUUCAAAAAAAAUCCUCACGGAGUUUGUAGAAGUCUUGAGAAAUUAGGUUCCAGCACUUCUUUAGGAACUCUACAUUAAAGCCAUUAGGUCUUGGGGACUUGUUGUUAGGGAGCUCUGUAAUUAUCUUAUUAAUUUCUUCUUAGGUAAAUGGACUUUCUAACCAGUCCAUAUUGUUGUCAACCCGAAGUAGAGAGUCAAGGUCAAAGUACAUGUGUGUAAACUUUGAGGUUCCUAUUCUUCCUUUAUAAGCGUUCCAGAGCAUUGCUGCCUUGGCUUCAUGGUCAAACACCUCACUUCUAGAAUCAUCUGUCAGAGAGGUAAUAGUGUUCUUCCUGUGUCUGAUCGACGCAUUGGCAUGGAAAAACUGAGUACACUUGAUGGGUCCAUAGACCCGGGGUUCCCAAUGGGCCUGCUUUUGCACAACACCUGGCCCAACGAGAGGUGCAGUGAUAAUGCACGCCUGGGCCGGCCCAAAUACGUGACGCCAGGCCGAGACCAUGAUCCAGCCACCGACCUGCAAUUCCGACUAGGAGGCCUGGUCGACGCCCCGACCAGAAGGCCUGGUCGGGGGCGGGACCACAGUCCGACUCCGACCAAGUUCCCCCAACUAGGGACACGCCAGACCUACGCAUACCACUCCUUCCCGACUGGCACGGUCGGGACUAUGGCGGAACUACCCAAAUUAACCUGACUAAAAUGCACUUAAGUCAUCUGACACGCGAUCAUGCACUUUAACCAAGUCAACUUGGUCAUCCGUUGGAUUUCAUCCGAUAAACCACUUACUCAGGAUCGAGAAGCAUUGCUCACAUGAAGGUGAGUGGCACAAAGAUUACAACAUUCCUAUCACAUUAACAUAGUUUGGAAGGUUGUAAACAACGAAGAAGUAAAACAAGCGGAAGCUACCCGACGAUACAUAAUACCAUGGAGAAGCCGACCAUGAUAUCAAUGACCCCUGUCCUCGCCAUCCGAGGAGGGAUCCCACUCGACUAUCCAACCCGGAGGGAGCUGGGUAGGCCAAGUGGUGCCAGCAGCCAAACUAUCGACAUUACCUGAAAAGUUAUGCCACAAGCAAGGCUGAGCAACUAAUACUCAGCAAGACUAACCUAAUAGGUGAUAACUAUUCACCGACUCCUAGACAUGCAAAACUUUUUGGUUGUGGGUUUGUUUUUGCCAAAACACCUAAAGUUGUCCUUACUUUCAACAUUUUAGCUCAAGUUCUAUGUUCAUUAACCAGACUAGAUUAGCAACUUAUACUAAACAAGCAUAGUUUCCAAACAAUUAAAGAACAAGCAUCAAGAUUAAAGUCAUCAUCAUAUUCCUUCUUUACUCAGUGCAGAAUAACGAUCAAGCAGUCCCAAACUAUGAGAGGCAGAUGAAUUAAUUUGAAUUUAUUAACCAUGCAUGGAGAACCUAAUCUCACGACAUCCGCGCACCACGAAGGGUCGCUUCACUUGUCAGCCGUCCCCAUCGAUCCCUAUGCACGUGUCAGGGCCAAACUUCCCUGGCAUGCAAUGCUGCACAGUCCCGGUCUCUUGUCGUACUGUGACGGCACUUGCACCCACAUGAUGCACCAUGGGAACCUCGUUCCAGGGACAGCAGGAGUAUAAGACACGCCCCAGUUCAAUCAGGUACUAGGCUUCCCUAUCCCAUACUAGGUAUGAGAUUAGUACUUUCAAACACUUGAUCAUGAACGCUGACAUGUUUUGACCUUAGCAAGUUCAUUACUAGACAGACAGGGCAAACCACCACAUUGGAACCAUUCCCGGUCCCGUCCGUCAUCCUUAUAGUUGUAGUAUGAGAAAACAAACAACUCCUAUAACUCGCGAGUGACAGGCAAUCACUCGACUUUUGCCAAGUCCUAUUUAGCACAACAACUACUCGACCUUAGCAACUAGUGUUCAGAUCAAAGGUACUAAAUUCAUGCAUCUACAGUUUCAAUCAACUCCUACAAACGUAAAUGCACAAUCAUAAUCAUCAAUAUAUUGCAUAAAUUUAAAACAGGGAAGCAUGCACCGGGGCUUGCCUUCAGGUUUAGAAAAAUUUAGCGGGUCUUCGGGGUCUUGAUCUAGCUCGGGCUCAACUUCCGUGUGAUGUAGCUCUGCGGCGUGUUCCUCUUCCAGUGUAGGGUGGAGCUCGUAGGUUCCGUCAGCGAUAUUAGCUUCUACACGACAUGCACAUGCAGAGAGUUCAAUUUUUCAUGCUUUCAUACGAAUGAUGUAAGACAUGACUUAUUGCUGAAAUGAAAGUUGCAUUUCGACCACAUUCACCUAAACAAGGUUUCAAAUUUCGUUACCUUCAUGAAGUAAGGUGUGUUGUGGUUUAAAACUAAGGGUUGACUUUGAUGGUGAUUGUGUACAUAUAUAAGAUUUCAUAACUUAGACUUCACAAGGAAAGUGAGGGUCGCUUUUAGGAUUGUUCGGGUUUCAUUUGGAAAGUCAUUUAUUUCUGAAUGUUUUUAUUGUACCUCUUCCAAAAAUCACCAAUUAAGUUUACUAGGACUUAACAUUUCCUUACUCAUUUAAACCGAUUCCUCAUCCAAAAUUUGUUUCCACAAACCAACACUAGCAUAUGACAUUGAGAAAUGAGCAGUACCUCACUCAUGUCAUCAAUGAGUUACUGUAAAAAUUUGGGAUCCAUUGAAUUAGCACAAAAAGAAUUAAAAUUACUUUAUUACCCAAGGGUAGCAUGCACUUAACCAUUUUUAUCUCAAAACCUACAGUGAUUCCGAGGGUGAAACUUUAACAGUGGGUUGAAGGUGUGUUAUAGAGACUUUGGUGAAUUUUUCAUGAUUUGUGGUGAAGGACAACUAUUUCCCAUAUUUUACUCCUAUUAUCUUGAUCUAAAAAGGAAAGUGGGUUUCAUCAAGCUUUAGUCAAGGUUUCAUAUUUUCCAUGUGAACUAAGCUUCAAAACUAAGCUACUCCAAGUGAUUUCAUAUUUUUCUCAGCUCUAGAUUAAAACUUAUGCAAAAAGAAAGAUUUAACCCUAGAUUUCAAAUAUAAAGCUAAAACAGUGAGUUAAAGUUCUACUCCAGGGUCUUCACUAUUUUUCCAAGCUUCCAUACUUAGAAACAUACACCAUAGAGUUGGAUUUAUCUUUUUAGUAUUUUUCUUUGAUUUACUAUGAUUUAAAAGGCCUAAGCAAGAAAUGAAACUAUAGGGUCUUAUUUCCAACAGUAACAUGGGCAAGAUUAUUUUUGUAUGAAACUGGAUAGUUCACUAAGUCCAACAAAAUUUAUUUGGCAUUUUCUAAUUUUUCUACGAUUUAUGGUGCAUUUACAAAGUUUAUUCUAUUUUCUAUCAAUUUAAAACAAUUAACCGAAAGAACUUACAAUCUAACCCUCGCGUCUAAGGUUUAAUCGUGCAGUGUUCUCUAGUUCUUGUGCUAAGGCCCCUAGAAAAAGAUAAAAGACACAGGGAGGCCCCUAGCGGCGGCCGUCGCCGAUCUUCGCCCGAUUUCGGCGAUGCAAGGCUUGGGCCUGGGCAAGAAGCUAUUGGGGAGAAGCGCGUUCUCACCUAGGGUCAAUUGGCGGCGGUUAGGACGUCGGAGAGGGCUCGGUGAAGGCGGAACGCCGUGGGGACGAGGAGCGGGUCGUGGCGAUGGUCCUCAAGGUGUUCCGGUGCCGGUAGUGCUCCGGGAGGGCAAUGGGCAGCUCGGGGACGUGCGUGGUGGAGCGGCGGAGCGAGCGGCGGUCUCGAUGGGGCGCGGGGCGGCACGGAGGUGGGGCUCCACGGGAGACCCGAGCGGCAGCCCAAGGAAAAUAGGGGAGCGGUGGUGCUAGAGCUAGCGGAGGGCGGUGUAGGCGGCACCAUAAGUCCUUUUAUAGGGCCAGGGGGAGCGGCGGGUCGAGGCGGGGCUCCGGACGUGGGAAGAUAAGAUCGGAGGGGCGCUGUGGGCUGCGGGUCGAAGCUCCAUUGGCGGCGGCGCCAUUGGUCGGGGUGCGGAGGCCGUGGGAUAGGAUCCCUCGGUCAUUGGCCUUGAGGGAUUCGAAGCGUGCAUGUAACAACCCUAGGUUAGCUAAACCCUGUUUAAACUUAAAUGAAGCAAUUAACAGCUGAUUAAACAAGUCAAGGGUCAACUUUGGCCCCUAAGAGCUUAAAUAUGUGAUUAAGUCAUAAGUUAAAUUUUUAUAUAACAGCCUGAAAUUUUAUCCAACUAAGAGUUGUUAAACUCAUCAUUUCUAACAACUUUUAUUAUAAGCAUUUUGUUUGAAAUUGAGUAGAAGAGAUCCAAAAACUCAGUUUAAAAUCAGAGGCUUUUCAAAUCACUCAAAAUCCUAAGUGCUGAAAGGCAUGAAAAAGUCCCAACUUUGGGGCUCUUUAUUUCAAAAUUUCUAAUAUAAAAUCAAGCUGAGCUCUAUACACAAGUUUUAGAACUUCAAGUGCUUAAUAACUUUGAUUUUUGGAGCUAGGCCAAAAUCUGCACAAAAGUUUUCAAACUUUAGGUCAAACACAGCCAGUUUGGUCAACACCGUCACACUCUGAAAAUCGUUCCAAGUCUGAAGUUUUCAGUUUUUGCCAAACAUUGAUGCAUUUUAUCUCCAAAACCGUUUGGAUUUUGAACAAAAACUUUAUGAAUAAAGUAAACUAGGGUGCUAGGCCUACAAGUUUUGUAAAGGAGGGUAGGGGCGAGCAGUUCAAAAAUUGGUAGUAAAUCAAGCCCCAAGACCGGUCCUCCGGCAUUUUUCGCGUUCCCGCCUAGCGUCAGAGAACGCACGCGCCAGAGCCCGCACCUCGCCCGCCGUGUGGCUCCACCUCACCGGCGAGCCCCGUCACCCAACCUGCGGCCGUGAGCUGACCCGACAAGCGCCGCCUCGCCUAAUAGCCUCGCUUGCCGCGACAGCCUCGACGCGCGCCUACAGUCGGUCGCACGCCCAGUCACCCGGCCCUCUGCUACGGGUGCAUGUCCCCGCACGCGCCGCAGACCGUCGCCGCCACUUCGCCCAACGCCCUCCCGCGACAAGAUGCCACAAGAGCCGAGCCUUGCCAAUGCGCCUCCCUAACAGCCCCGCUCAUUCGCGCACGCGAGCUCUUGCCCUAUCCUGCCGCACCGCCCGUCGGCGGCAAUGGCCACUGCCGAGCCUCGCCAAUGCGCCUCCCUAACAGCCCCGCUCGUCCUCGCACGCGAGCUCCUGCCCUAUGCUGCCGCACCGCCCGUCGGCGCCAAUGGCCGCCGCCAUGGCCGGUCCACCCGGCAGCACGCGCCUUGCCCCACUCUUCGGCUCCAGCUACAGACGCGUGCCUCGCCGCGGCUAUAAUACGCCCACCAGCCUGCCCGCACUCCCUUUCACAGCUCCGCGCACCCGCACCGCCGGAACGCCCACCUGAGCACGCCGCCGCCUAAGCUCCUCCAUGGAGAGCUAGCCUCCGCCGUGCGCCACCCCUCACCGGUGCCCCUAGCCACUUCGCCGCCACCUCGCGAAGCUGCUGCGCUUGCCCAUCUCCGCCGCCCAGACCCAGCCCCGCCGGAACACCAACGCCACCGCCCGCCGCCGCAGCCGAGCAAGCCGUCUCCGCGUGCUGCCACCGUCGGACCGCCCCGCCGCCCGCAACCGCCUCAAAUCAGUCGCAGGUGAGCCCCUGCGCCUCCCCGACCUCUUGUCACCCCAAUCCCGCUGGCUAAUCGCCGGAAUUCCGACCGGCCACCGCCGCCGGCCCGCCGAGGACUCGAUUGCAUUUGAAAAAUGCGAAUUAGGGGUCUCUGUGAAGUUUUGUUACAACCUAUGGGUGAUUAGUUGAAAACCCGAGGGCCCAACCGUAAGUCUACCUGAGAAAACCCGCGCGAGGACCUGUUUGUGUAUAGCGAGGGCAUGGUUGUGAAAUCCGAAAGUUUCUGAGGGCCUAGUUGCAAAUACGUUUCGGUUUAUAUUUUUAUAUCGGCAGAAUAUAUGUUUAACUUUGAAAAUUCACCAAAAUUCGUAGAAAAUUCAGCAAAAAGUCAAACCAAUUUUGCUAGACUCAGUAUAAGAGUAGUUUUUAAUAAAAAUACUUUUGGCACAUGUCUUUGUUAGAAUUAAAUUUAUAUGAUUUAAUCCUUGUUUAAGCUAUUUAAAUCAUAACAAAUCACAGAAAAAUGCUAAAAAGGGUAAAUCCAUUUCCCAAGUGGUUGUUUCAGAUAGUAGAAGCUUGGAAAAAUAAUUUUGGAGCCCAUCUCAGAUGUUUAAAUCUCUAUUUUAGUUUUAUCAUGUGUAUCUAAGGUUGUUUUCGUCUUUUGCAUUAUAAUUAAACCAGAGAUGAUAAAAAUAUGAAACAAAGCGUAAUAGGUCAGUAGUGUAGUAUAGUUUGUAGGAAAAACAUAGAACCUGAUUAGAAGCAUCAGAAAAACCACCUUCCUUUUUAGGGAGGAAUAAAUAGGGUAAAUGUAUAGAAAAAGAUGCCCUUCAUUAAAAAUUGUGAGAAAUUCACUAGAGGCUCUAUUUCACCCCUGGAACCUACUGUUAAAAUUUCGUGAUCAGUUUCAUCUUGGUUUCUGUUUUAAUAAUGUUUAAGUAUAUGCUACCUUAGGGUAAUUGAGUAAUGCUAAUUCUUUUCAUGCACCUCCAAUGGAUCUCAAACUUAUGCAGUAUCUUAUCCUUGCCAAAGUUAAGUUACUGGUAUAUUUUCAGCUUCAUAGCUUGCUGUUAAAGAUGGAAAUAAAAUUGCAAGAUGAGCCUAGCUAAAUGAAAGAAAGAAACCUUAAUUAAUGAUAAAGGUAUUUUUUUAGGAGAGGUACAAAAGAACAUUCAGAAACAGGAUAACUUUCCGAUCUAAAGUUUAACAAGAUAGUGCAUAUAUGUACACAAUCACCAUCAAAUCAACCCCAGGCUUGUACCACACCCCACCUUCCGCGUGUAGAUAAAGAAGGUGUAAAACCUUGUUCAAGUGAAUGUGGCCCUAAUAUAACUACUUCUUCAGUACUAACUCGUGUUUUACAUCCUAUGAAAAAGUUUGGGAAUUUUUAACUUGAUGCAUUGCAUUUCGUGUAGACCUGAACCUCGCUGACGGGACUUACGAGCUUCACCCGGCGCCAGAAGGAGCCAUAGCGGAUCUGCAGCAAGUCAGAGCCGAGCCCGUACCAAAACAAGCCGAGGACCAGUUCGCUAACUCCCCGUGUGAAGGCAAGCCCCAGAGCAUGAAUUCCUAUCUUUAAAUACCUGCAAUACAAUUGAUUGCUUUGAUUGCGCAUUUACGUUCUAGGAGUUGAUUAACACCGUAGAUGCAUGAAUUUAGUACCAUUGAUAUGAACACUAGUAUAUUAAGUCGAGUAGUUGCAAUACUUAAUAGGACUCGAUAAAAGUCGAGUAAUUUCCUGUCACUCGCGAGUUAUAUAAGUUGAUUGCUUUACUUAUGUUGCAACUAUAAGGACGAUGGACGGGGAUGGGCUUAUGUUUGGUACUCGGUGGUUUGCCCCGUCUGUCUACAUGAAAUUGGACUAAGGUCGAGAUUUGAUAGUGUUCGUGAUCAAGUAUUUGAAAGUACUAAUCUCAUACCUAGUAUGGGAUGGGGAAGCCUAGUACCUGAUUGAACCAGGACGUGAGCGGAUCGUUCCACUGUCUCUGGAAACUGAGUUCUCCCCUGAUGCAUCAUGUGGUGACAAGUGCGGUCAUAGAACGGCGGAGGCCUGGUCUAUAGAGCCUUGUACCAAGGGAAGUGGGCCCGACACAGGUUUGGGAAUUGAUGGGGGUGGCUGACAAAUGAAGUGACCCUUCGCGGUGCACGGAUGUCAUGGGAUUAGGUUCACCAUACAUGGUUAAGAAAUUCGAAUCGAUUCAUCAGCCUCUCACAGUUUGGGAGUACUUGAUCGCUAUGCUACACUGAGUAAGAAUGAAAGAUAGUGAUGACCUAAUAUGGUUACUUGCUAUUAAUUAUUUGGAAACUAUGCUUGUUUAGUAUAGUUGCUAACUUAGAUUGGUAAAUGAACAUAGAACUUGUGGCUAAAAUAUUGAAAGUAAGCACCUACAUUAGUCGCUUUUGGCAAAAACAAACCCUAGAGCCAAAAAGCUUGCAUGUCUAGGUGUUGGUGGAGUAGUACCACCGGUCGGUUAAGUCUUGUUGAGCGUAGUCGCUCAGCCUUGUUGUGGCAUAUCUCUUUUCAAGUGAUGUUGAUACCUCUGAGUUCGAUGCAAGUGGCACUUGGCCUGCCCAACUUGCUCCGGGUUGGACGGUCGAGUGGGAUCCCUCCUCGGACAGCAAGGAUAAGGAUCAUUGAUGUCAUGACCGGCUUCUUCAUGAAGAUCAUGCAACAAUGUCUAGCUUUCGCUUAUUUAUUUCCGCUGCUUGAAAACUCUGCAAACUUGUUGAAUUUCGGAACUCAUGUUAUAAUAAUUCAAUGCACUUUGUUAAAUCUGGAUGGACUGUUGUAAUCUCUGUAACCACUCACCAUCGUGUGAGUCUUGCUUUAUCGAUCCUGAGUUAAGUGGUUUAUCGGAUGAAAUCCGACGGACGACCAAGUUGACUUGUUUAAAGUACAUGAUCGCGUGUUAGGUGACUUAAGUGUGCUUUAGCCAUGUUAAUUUGGGCGGUUCCGCCACAGCGCAAGCGUGGCUUUGCCGCGGUCGUGGGUUGUGGAGCGAGGCACUCGUGCGGUCACUGUCCGGGCAUCGAUAGGCGAACGGAGCUUGGCCGGUCCGAGGCGGUGGCGUGGCAUCCUCUGGCGGGCGGAGCUAGCUCAAGACGGGGCGAAGGGCAUGCGUGGCAUCAGGGAGCGGGAUAAGCGCGCUCGCCUACUAGGCAGCCGAGCGCGCGAGUUGUUGUGUCGCGGCCGUCGGUUGGGCGACGGUGAGCUCGCCAGUUGAUGGCGGCCACGCGGCGGGUAGCGUGCGGGAACGCGCGUCGCGGCGCACUCUGGCCGAGGGCGUCGCAAGGUAGGGGGAAAAGGCUAGGUUUGGGGGAUUUUUGUUAAAACUUUUUCAAAAGAACCCGUGAAACUCCAAAAGUAAAACAUGUAGUCCUAACGUCCAGCUCCAAACUUUACAAAAAGAGUUUGCUUAAAUUCGAUAUGGAUUUGAACCUAUGGAUUUGCAAAGUUCGGCAGAACGUCAGCCUCCUAGGACUUAGACAGAUUUUGGUUUUGCUGUUUUUAAGCAUUUUGGCCAACUUUGGCUCAGAUUUUGAGUAGCUUCCCAUUUGAAUCAUGCCAAGCUAUAAUUGAAGGAAUUGUUCUUCGAUCUUAGGACUCCAACUCCUAGUAAGGACUUUUCUCAGGUUCAGUUCAAUUUUUAGGAGAAACAGGCUUGCCAACAUGCGUGCUCUGGGUGUCCUUCCAGACUUAGCGCAGAAAAGCAUUUGUGCUAGCUUGACUAUUUUGAGCGACAUUGACCAAGAUUUUGAAUAGGUUUGGUUGUGAAUUAGACUUGGGUCAGUAUAACAAAGUUGUAACACACUCGCGGAACUACAACUUCUAUUAGGGGUUUGACUCGAGGUUAGAUAUAGAAUUGUGAGAUAAUAGGUUGCAAAGUAGAGGAAAAACAUGAGUUCCAGGACUUACGUUAUUUGCAGGAUUUUGAUGUACUCCUGAUUUGACUCUUAUUUUUGACCUUCUUCCACUCCAAAUUAGCCGAUGUGUUAUUAAUAAAAUUUGUUUGAAAUUAAAAGUUUUACAACUCCUAUUUGGGCAAAAAUUCAAGUUUGUAUACAAAAACUCAAGUUUCCUAUUUAACCCCAAAAGGAGAUUUUUAGGGGCAAAUUGGACAUUUCACUUCUUCUACUUAGUGACUAAUGACUUUAUUAAGUAUAACUACACCUAAUUAAGGUAGAAUUGUUACAGGGAUCGACCAGGACAACUGACAGGGGAUGCCCACUUGGUGUGGACCCAGGGAGUAGGUUAAGCAGAUAAAGGAAAACACAAAGGUCAACCACUGUACAGAGGACCAUACCUAGCCAUGCCCUGCGCAAACGCCGCACAGUGCCACCGUGCAAUGUCAGGCGAACACUGUGCUACCUGACCGUCACAACGGAGCAUGAACAAGGAUGGAGUGCGAUGGUCAUACUGUACCCGGCGACGUGGGCAACGACAAGACUAGGCAGCGCUCGUACUCUCUCUCUCUCUAACUUGUAAGGCUGUCCCCUUGGACUAUAAAAGGGGAUGGGCCCUCUCUCUCCCAAAUAGGUGAAGCGUCCCCACAUCAGCGGAGACUAAAUGUGAUAGAAAUAUCAGUCCCAGGAGGCUGAUAACACAUUUAUUCGACAGAUGGUUCAAAAACCGUACAACUCCCGAAGGAGCGGGCGGGCAAGCCACACCCAAAGAAGAACUAAACCAAUAACGAUACAAAUCCAAGUUGCAGUCCAGUCGGACUCCGGGCUGCAAUCGGAACUAAGCGUCAGCGGAAGCAUUCUGCAAAAGCCAACACCACAGGCAGCGUUGGGUGCGGACACGACCUCCUACUCGAGAUCCUUGGCGAUGUAGUCUGGGUCUUCCUCUGAAGCAACAAAACAAGGGUGAGUACGAAGGUACUCAACAAGUCCAACCCCAUCCACGGAGGGGGAUACAAACAAGAGUAUGCACAGGAUAUAACAAGGAUAAGGUUAAGGUUCAUUUGCAACAAAGCUAGAUUUUCAACACAUGCAGAGGUUCAUUUCCAAAAGAGUUUUUGCAAAGCAUUUCCUUUAUUAACCGAAACAUUAAGUGGGGUUGAUCCUACACAAAGGAUCCAAAUUUUAUUGCUAUCGGACUCCCCGUCCGCCAUAGCUCAUGACACAACUGCCGGACACUUCCAAAGUCCAACACACGCCAUAAAAACCAUCCAUCUCCAAGUGCUAGUUAUGUGACCAAGCCGUAACUCGUCCAAUCCCAUGGACACAGCUACCCGGAUAGGUUUUAACUCUGCAGAGGUUGUACACUUUUCCCUCAAGUAGGGUACCGCAGUACGAUCACCUUAGUGCCAGUGCGAAUCCUAACAAAGCCAUUACCCACCUUAGCUAAGAAUGACUAGUCCACACGGAAGCAACCAAGGGGUUAAUGACAUACCAACGAGGUUGUAACCGGGACCUAAGUCACAAAGAUCUUACUCCUUUUUCAUGGGCUGCCGUUGCUCACUAGCUCACCCGAAGACUAACAGUUUAGCUAGUGGGAUUUAUGCUAAGCCGUUGCCGCAUACAAUGGAGUGGUUGCACGAAGGUUGGGUUAGGCAAGAUGACACAUUAACUUGGUCCUUAACCAUGACAAGAUGGAUAUCUCCCAACCUUGCUCAAGCACCAAGGUACGAGCCCAACAUAUUGGCAUUUCACACCUGAAACACCCAUCCAUCUCAUCUAAGCAUUUCUUUCCUUUACUUCCAAAAAACCCAAUUUCCCUUUUUAAAAUACUCACACAUUUAUUUUUUAACAAAACACAUUAUGGUCAUGACUGAAUUGAGUAACAAGGUCCUAAGCAUUCUAGCAGUAAUUAUCAUCCAAACAGAGCAAGUCAUAUUUAGAGAUAGUUAUAGGACAAGCAAGGAAUAAUCAUAACAAUCAAGGGGUGGCUAUCCAACCAUGUUUCGGCGGUAAAAUAAUAUGCAAUUUAUAAAAUAGGCCAAUAUGUUGUGUUUGAAAAACUAGGAUAAAUAUGCAUCAAAGGGUGAGAUUGGACUUGCCGUUCUCAAAGCCUUCCGGGAGUUCCUGCUCGCGGUACUGGUCCUCGGGCUCGGGCUCAUGGUCAAACUCCUCCUCAUGCUCCUCCUUGGGUACUCCACGAUCUAAGCACACACAAUCGAGCACACAAUAAAUAAAAGAGAAUUAAAAAUUUUCCCAUUGAGCUACGAACAGAGAAUGCGAACGGAAAAUUGAAGGAGUGAGCAUUUUCAUGAAAUUUGGAUAUGCCUCAGUGGAAGUAUAUGGGAGGAGGCCGUGAUCGAAUUUGGGAUCAAUUGGAGGAAGUUUGGCGCAUGAAAUGAUGAGUUAAAGGAGUGUUAGGGGCUUAAAUCAAGGUUUAGGACUAAACUGCGAGAACUAGGGACCUAUUUGUAAUAAUUUCCGAAAGGUGGAAGGGCGUAUCCGUGAGAUUUCUUUGAGAGAGGUGGGAGGGCUGGUUUGCAAAUAGGGGAAACUAGGAGGUUAGAUCGAAAUGGAGGCCUUCUUCUUCCUUGGGCCGAGACAGAGAGAUUGGAGGGGAGGGAAACCGGUGGGGGGGCCGGCCGGCCGGGCCUCACCGGCGGCAAGCUGAGUGGUGGGGGAGGUAGAGGGGGACGAGGGCGUCCCGUUUGAGGUUUCACCUCGGGCGGAUGGUGGCCGGAGAUGGGGCGUCGGCGGCGGGCAAAGGAGGCGGCGGCGGAGCUCCUGACAGCGGCGCACAGGGCGGUGGGGAAGGGGGUGACGAGCUAGGGGGGAGAUGCUGGUGGUGUGGGGAGGCGGCAGGGGCUCGGCCCCCUUUUUAUAGGCGGCGAGGAGGAGCUCGAUGGCCAGCGGCCUUCAAUGGUGGCCGAGAAUCCCGGUCGGUGGCGUGCCGGAGCGGAGCUCCACGUGGACGGCGUGGUGGGGCUGGCUCGGUCGACGAGGAGCACAGGAGGCACACAGGGGUGGUGGCCGGCGUGGCGUGCGGCCGGUGCUCAUCGGGCGGGGCCGGCCAGGCGCAGGCGGUGGCGUGCGGCUCGACGCGCGAGGCCGGGCGCGGGCGCGGAGCCGGACUAGGCGCAGGCGCGGGGCCGGCACGGGCCAGGCGCAGGAGCCGGGGCCGGGUGAGCGGUGCCAGGCGCCAGACGCCAGGGAGGCGGCGCUAGGGAGAGGAGAGGAAAGAGAGGAGGAGGGAGGAGGAAGAAGGAAGAAAGAGAAGGAAGGAAGGGAAAAAAGAAAAGGGGGAAAAGGAAAAGGAAAAAGGGAAAUCGGCGAUAGUUGCGGAAUUGGUCGGGCACGCGUGACGGAUUUGACGAGCACGCGGCUAAAUUUGCGGGGAACGGAAAAAGAUGAUUGUCGAUGUUGGGUGCCGGGAUGGCGGGUCGCCGAGAAGGAAAAGAUUUUUCGGGAGCUCAAUGGUCGAAAGAUUUUGAAAUAAAUUUUUUAGCGGGUGAUUUGAGUUAGUAAAUUUUACGGACAUUACAAUAGGCCAUACACAUGAGGCACAUCAAAAACCCUCUGAUUCUCUCCAGCACAUAGCACACGCUUUAAGCCCCCCGUCACUCUCUUCCACUUGGACCAGAGCACGACCGGGUCUCGGACACCCCCUUCUCACCCCCAACUCGUUUGUACCCCAACUACAAACUUGGAGCACCUGGGCUUAGGAAUACAGUCAACCAACUGACCUCGAACUGAACGUAGGUCACGUAGCCCGAACCAGUAUAAAACCUGUGUCAUUGUGUGCUAGGCCAUUCCGAUCUAACGCACGGCAAAACUACUAACAUUUACUUGUCGGCCAGAUUCCGCCCCGACAGCACUCAUCUCCAAACUUAACCCAUUUGAUUGUUCCUCUUUGCUUCCAUUAGAUCUUUUGUUGGUGAAGAAGGUUCUGUAAGUGAUUCCUAAUUAUGUGCCUAAAGAUCCAUUUUUCUAAGGUUAAAUCUCAUUGUUCUUCCAUAAUGUUCAGGAGCUGGAUCAAGUCUUUGCAGUUCCUGAUGGUAGCUGGUAAAUUUGGUAGUUGUGCUUUUCAAGCAUUUAACACUCUCCCCUUAGGUUCUUAAAUUUUGCACUUAUCGUCUUGGUACUAUCAAUUUGAGGGUUGGGCAAAUUCCAUCCAUGUUAUAGAACUAGCACAAAAUUCUCAUGUUCCAACCAAUAGCUUUCAAAUCUGAAUAUCCUAGGCUUAGGAACAUUUGUGCUUGCCGUGAUGGUACAUGGAGUGUGAUAUGAGAUGUCUCUGGACAACCCUGAGGCAAAGGAGUUUCAAAAAAUAGUUGUCCAAGCAUUAGAUGUGAAGAACCAGUCUAAUCUUUCCAGUAAAGGAUUCUGUUGCUUGUUUGUCCAGGUAAAUUUGCAUCCUCUAAAGGGCAAUUCCACUAAACUAAGGUUGCUAAUGGUUUCAUUAAAAGCCAGCAUUUCCUGAAGAUUACCCCUAGCUUAUUCCUAUCUUCUCCUAUCUUCAAGCUUCCUGAUGAGGUUGAAGUCUCAGCCAUUUUUCGUCAUCAGGCAUAUUAAUCCUUUUGAACCAGUUCAAAAAUGCGGUUUUGCCUUCUCUAGUACAGGGUGCAUAGAUAUUGGUUAGGAUCCAGUUUUCUCCAAUCUACCUACAUGAGAAUUAUACUGAUUGGGCAUAAUCAUUUUGAAAGUCCAAGUGACCACUGAACUUGGAACUGUUCCAGAUAAUGUUAGUCCCUCCUGAGUUACCCACUAAUAGUAAGAACACAUAAUCAUCCAUAUAUGCUGGAUAGAAAUUUUAACAUAUGUAAUAUCGAAGAAUUCUUUCUAAGUUUCUUGUAGACAUAGAAUAUCACAUUUGGAUUUACAAAUCUUGCUUUUGACCGCAUCCCAUUUCCCAUCAGAGUUAAUACCUCUAAUAUUCCACGAUAGAAUGACCCAAUUCCUUUUAUGUUGUCCCUGAUUAUAGAUGCUCAUUGAUGAGAAGCCCAACAAAUCGCAUGUGUAAGAUACAAUUAUCCACAGGAUGUCCAAACCGAAAUAAAUAAACAUUCUAAUUAAGAUAAAGAUCACCAGGAUCAACCACAUGUUCAUAAGGGAUAAUAAAGAAGUCCACAUCCCCAAGACAUUACAGUUUAACAAAAUCUCAACCAUUCCCAUCAUGAUACAGGAUAAACUAAUAAUGAAGAUAGCAAAUAAGAUCUUGCUACUUCUUGAUCUUCUUGCGUGAUUCCUCGGAUUCAAUCUCAUCGAUCUUCUCUUUGCUUUUCUCUCUCUUGGAGUUGAUUACCUUCCUGGAGGUCUUGUGGCUUCCAAUGACUUGCUUGUUCUUGCCUUUGUUGCAUAAUGCAUCCUCAGACAGAGCUUGUUGAAUAGCUUGUUCAGGUCCACUCUGCGGGAAGCCAUCUCCGGUGAGAUGUUCGGCGUCUCCGAACUUCUCCAGGAUCCAGCGGCUAUCGGAACCGGAGACAUGGACAACACUGAUUGAGGUGUUAGGAAUUUUCCUGCCAACCGAGAUCGUUGGAUCGGCAUGCCUGCAGAUUUCCUCUAUGACUGCCUCAUGAGAGACGACGACCACCCGCUCACCUGUUGAUGCAACACACGACAGCUUGAAAUUCACCACCGGGUACAAGUUUUGACCAUACAGCAGAGAGCACCAGAAAUUACUAUGUGGAUCGGUGCUUACCCUUGUGCUUCUCGGCGAUUGCAUUCAAGCGGGAAACACAGCGCUCGGAAAGUUGAUCAAGACUCUCCCCACCACCCUGUCCAAAAGGAGAUGACUAGUGAGUAAUAUAUAGCUUUUACUUCAACUAAGACUAAUUAAGUACAACUUCGAGAUCAGAGGAGAAUGGAAAUUAGUUACAGGUAUUUCUUGGUCUCUGCCACCACGUGCGAAAGCCUUGUAAGCUUCAGAUCUCUUGGCAUCGUCAAUGGUCCAACCUUGGAACAAUCCCAUGUGCCUUUCCGUCAGUGCCCGAUCAAUCACCAGCUGAAACAGCACAGAAGCCCAUUUAUUCGGAUGAUAUAUAGAACACGAAUUCGUGAAGCGAGAAAAAUUAGCACAUCAAAAAACGUUCAUACAUCAGAAUCAGAUACGCAGCAAUGCGCUGCGAUCGUUUGCGCAGUCUGGGAAGCACGCUUCAAGUCAGAGGAGUAGACGGCAGCUGGCUUGGCUUCUUCCGACAGACGACGGGCAACCUUGAGGGUUUGAACAAAAUCAGAAUCACGUACAUAAUCUCAAGUCAUGACGAUCUCACAAAGUAUGGCGUACCUUGGCAGCUUGCUGCCUACCAGUUUCGUUCAGCUCCUGAUCGAUCCGUCCCUGUUGAAACUUAAAAUAAGCCUUAACACAUGUUGUAUUGCAUCGCAGAGGGAGAAUCAUAUCUAAGUGAUGCGAUAAGUAGCAAGCUGUGACAGGACAGGAUGAACAAGAAGCGACCUGAAUGAUGCGGGAGACGUUCCAAUCCGUCUGUCCAUGGCGCACCAACACCACCUCCGCGAAGUGCUCGCCGUGCGUCGAUGCAGGUGCCAUGAUCGAUCGGCCGGCGUUACUGCUGCAGAGGGAAGGGGAGAUGGAUGGUCUGGAACCUCUCUGAUGCUGUAUGAUCUAGCUGCCCUGCAGAGGGAAGGGGCGACUUUAUGGAGGCCAGAGGCACAAGGGAGGAAACGCCGCGGCGAAGACCUGGGAUUUCCCUCGACAGCACCAGGAGGCCAUCUCCAUGUACGAUUGUUGCUUGGACUCCAAUGCAUCUCCAUGUACGCGACCACGGCGAAAAGGCCAUUUCCGUCGAGCGCACCUCCAUGCGACGGUGGCGGGGGGUUGACUAAAAAAUUAGAAACACGGUUUGAGCCACAACAGCCAUUCCAACAGCAGCUUCCGGAAGGCUCUGGAAGGCUCUGGAAUCACAAGCAUAAUUCGUGUACGUUUUGAAGAUGGAAAGAUGGCGACCUGCUAGUUGACUUCCAACAGCAGGUUUGGGCAACACGCCAUUCCAGCAGCAGGUUUGGGCAACGCCAUUCGAGGAUCGGCUUCUCCAGGAAGUACGUGGCCAACUAAUAUAACCUGCAGUUGGUCGGCGGACCAAAUUAAAGAAGCUAUCCACUUUCUUCUGCAUCAAGACCUCCUGUUAACCGGCCCCAUCCACUUUCUUCUCCAUCAAGACCUCCGGGGUCCUGCGCGGACCAUUGGCGCGGCCACGUCGCCCUGUUUUCCCGACGUCGGAUCGUGCGAUCCCGUAGGCAUGUGGAAUUUUGCAAAAAAAACCUUCAGUUCUCCGCUAAUCUACUUCGGGUUUAGGGAGGACCCUCGCCAACUGUAACCACGUUCAAUUUAUUUGCGGCACACCCCUUUGGUUAAAUAAUAUUUCAACAUCAAGAAGAGAAAAUUCCAAUUCUGCGUCGCUUUUGAAAAAAACCACCUGCCUAUCAUUUUGCGAAGAACCCCACCGCAACCUCGCAGCAACACACACUUGGCCCCAAGCCACCGCUCCCUCCCAAUUCUCUCCACAUCCCCCUCUCUCUAACCCUCCCGCCCUACCUGACGGCUGCCGCACACUUUAGUUGGCAUUGUUAGUGUCUUUUGAUGUUCUUAAUGCCUGCUACUGGUUCAGAUUUAUUUCUUUCCCCUUCUGUAUUUAACUAGGUUUGGUAGUAGCUUGUAGCCUUGCCUUUAUUCAACCCUAGCACCAGUAAAUGUAGGCCAUGGAGUUAUAAAAAAUUGAUAAACCAGCCACUUCAAUAAAUUGGUGUCUCCCAAUUCUAACUCUUGGUGCUUAUACCAAAAGCAAGCAUCGGACUGAAUAUUUCUGCAAAAAAUUAGCUUCAAGAUCGCUAUCUACGAUAUUUCGAUCAUUUGAUUUCUUUUCCUUUUCUUUUUUUUUGCGAAACACCAUUUGAUUUCUUGAUGGUGAUGAGUUAACUGUGUUGUGAGGUGAGAUAAUCCAUUGUCUCAAAUCAUUCCUGAUGUUGAGACCUUUAGUAAAAUGGCAUUUUGAGAAUAUUGUGGAUUGCUUUAAUUUUUACAGCUAGUGCUUGCAAACUCUGUAUGUGUCAUUCAGACAGCUUGAUUGCAUAUGACCUUCCUCAACAAUACAUUCAUUUUAUGACAUGCUUUUCAGGUUAGGUUGGAGAAAAAGAGGGCAAACUGAAGAUUGCGCUAAUGAAAACAAAUUUUCAGCUUAUGCUCCAAUAAUUUUCUAAAUCCUAUUAUCAUUAAUUAGUUUGAAGAAACGAUGGGAUCUGUAACCUGGUAAAGCUACCCAUUUAUAUGGAGACUCAAAAGACUUUCUAAUUUGCGCAGGUCAGCAGUGAUUAAAACAUUGCAUAAUUCUUUCUAUUUAUUACCAUGUAGUUUCAGCUUUUGUACCCGUUGAUUUGUCUAUGAAAUUAUGUGCACCGGAUUAAGGAAAGGUUAUGCCAAAAAUGGUGCUAGCUCAAUGACAACAAGACGUGAGCAAUAUAACCUAAUUAUCCAAUUUUGGUUGGUGGACAUGUGAUUUCCACCGUCGAAACUCCAAAAUUACAUUAAAAAUUGGGCCGGAGAAAUUAUUACACAGCUGUUUACCGCACUAAACAAUGAACUUUCGUGGCAAAAGAAAAUAAUAAAAUGAAGGGUCGUAGACAUGCCUGUUUCCAAUUUCUCUCUUGACAGGCCAACAGACCAACAUUGAUGAGAGGGCUACUUAGACUCCCUGAUACAUUUCUCCUAGGAGAGGCCUCGGAAUCUGCUGAAUGUCUAACUGAAGGACUCUAUAGAAUAAAAGAGAAUGUCUGUAAGUAAUAAUCAUCAAAUUUAUUUGUUGAAAGCCUGCAUCAAUCAUCAAUUACACUGCAUUGUGUUAACGGUAGGCCAUGUUAGCUAUUAUGUAUCCAAAAAGAUCAAAUUAAAUUUGAACCAGAGAAUCAAGAAAGAGAUGAAACAGAUGAAACGACCUACUAUGAGCCAAGAAAUUAUCUGUAUGUUUAAACUCUGAAUUAUCAAACAAUUCUAAAUUAAGCUGGUUUACAUAAAAGGAAAAGGUGUGUACUCCGUAUGAGCAUGGGCUUCCUAUUUUUAAGUUUUAAACCUGCUGAAUCAGAACGAUUUUAUGGCAUAGAGGUACUGAAUUACUGAUAAAGAAAACAUUGCAGAGAACAGUAACAUAUACACAAUGAAGGCGGAUCGCACAGAUGGUAGCAUGGCGCAGGGUAAGAAGAAGGCACGGAGCGGCGUUUUUUUUUAAAUUGAUUUAAUUUAGAAUAAAUACCACAGCAUUCUCACGUGGUACCUCUGCUGCUGCACAAAUUAUAGCAAAGACCGUCCGCCGCACGCGUACUGCUUCUACACAGUCCCGUGUCAUAGGCACACCGCACACACGUAUGGCUGCACUACAAAGCCGUUCCCCUGCCGAUGCAGAAGCAGCAAGCCAGCAUUAUUAGGGUAGAAUCAAACACUUUACACUUCAGGGUUACAUUCACAACUGCCUAUGAGCAGGCAUUUACAAGCAGCAGUGCAAUGCUUCAAAUUUCAGUGUGGUAUUGUUUACCCACAGAGGAAUUUCUAUACAAGUUCAUUAUCAUUGCACUGACAAGUGAGAGCAUUGUAGUAAUGGAAGAAUGGAGGCAUGUUCAAGCGUAUCAAGGACUCGAGGUAGCCGAUUGUAUUGCCGUACGAACAAGAGCAGAGCAGCAUGUUUUCUUGCCAUCGCCGCCAAAUGCACUCUGCAGAAAGCCAUCUUCAUUGAUGUGGCCGACGUCCCCGAGCUUCUCAAGGAUCCAAUGGCCGUUCUCACCGGAAAUAUGGAUCUCGCUGAUUGAAGUGUUGGGGAUUCUUCUGCGAACCAAUGUCGUCAUUGGAUUGGCGUGCCUGCAGAUUUCCUCUAUGGUGGCGCCAUGGGAGACCACAACCACACGCUCCCCUGCGAAUGCAACAUGUCAGCGCAACAGCGUAAAUAACGGUUCCAGUUUGGAGUUUGGAGUUGAUGAAGAAUUGGCAGCCAUAGUUAUGCAUCAUCAGGUGCAGGUUUUGACGGAGCUAGUAGCACUACUGUAAAUUGGACCUAGGUUUUAUCUGCUGCAUUGUACUGAAUACAGAUAGCACGAAGGAAUUGAGAAGCUAAAGAGUAAUCUGAAUCAGAUCAUUGCUUACCCUUGUGCUUGUCAGCUAUCAUGUUCAAGUAGGAAACACGGCGCUUGGAAAGUUGAUCAAGACUCUCCCCACCACCCUACCAAAAAAAUGAACGGAUUAGAUAACUAGUAUACAGCAACCAGAAGGAAAAAUGACUGUCACUGAUUCAGAAGGAUUCAAGGUAGCUUUGGGAGGAGAAUGGAAGUUAGUUACAGGAAUUUCUUGGUUUCGGUCAUCUGAUGAGAAAGCCUUUUUAUCGCCCAACAGCAGCAAUGCGUCAACCACAGUGUUAUAAAUCUGCACAUUGGGGGGCAAUCCUCUCACCCUCAUCUCCCCAAGCAAACUCCCAAUCGUCUCCAGAUCACCUUUCCUCCCGAGCCAGUUAACAAUAGAACCAUAUGUCACCACAGUUGGCAAAAAUCCUUUCGUGUCCAUAUCGCCCAACAAAAGCAAUGCCUUCCCAAUGUCCCCGCGCCGGCACAUUGUAGAACACGGCGUGCGGAAUGCACUCAGCUCCCCACCUCGCCUCAAUCAGCUUCAUCCCCUCCUCCACCCGCCCUUCCAAGCACAUCCCUCUGACCAUCGCGCAGGUGCUGUAGUUAUCCGCGCCGCCCUCCUCCGCAAGCAUUUCGUCAUACAGCUUCCGGGCAUCCUCCCAUCGCAGGCGCUCCACGAGAAGCCUGAGCAGGCGGUUGCAGUGCCUCGCCUCCGGGAGCGUGCUGUGCAUCUCCCUGGCGCGAGCGCACGUCUCGGCGGCCUUCCCUUCCAUCCCGGCGUCCGCGGGAGCGGGGUGAUGCGGGGCAGGAGCGGCGGCCGCGGCGCGAGGUGUGGGAGCGUUUAGAGAAAAAGGAAAGAAAGAAAGAAGAAUGGCUAGUUCAGUUGCUCGGUCCACAUUGGAACUGCUGCUUCUUCUCCUUGGUAGUGCUUCUGCUAACUUUCCAAAAAAAAAAUACUUCACUGAAAAUAAAAUAAAAGUUCACUGACAAAUGAGAGCAUUGUAGCCAUGAAGGAACGAAUUUACUAUAUGAUACGGUAGUGUUUCUAUUAACUUUCAAAAAAAAUACAUUUCACAAAUUACAGGGUGAUUGACUAAAAAUAGAAGUUCUCACGGACAAAUGAGCUACAAUGGAGGAAGGAAUGAAGGCAUCACCUAUGCUUUAACAGUCUGUAUGAACAUGAGCAGCAUAUUUUCGGUUACAAUGUACUCUGCGGGAAGCCAUCUCCGAUGAGGUGUCCGGCGUCCCCGAACUUCUCCAGGAUCCAGCGGCCAUCGGAACCGGAGAUAUGGACAACGCUGAUUGAGGUGUUAGGAAUUUUCCUGCCAACCGAGAUCGUUGGAUCGGCGUGCCUGCAGAUUUCCUCUAUGACUGCCUCAUGGGAGACGACGACCACCCGCUCACCUGUUAACGCAACACGCGACAGCUUCAGUGUGCAGCUUGAAAUUCAUCACCAGGUGCAAGUUUUGACCACACAGAGAGCACAAGAAAUUACUACGUGAAUCGGUGCUUACCCUUAUGCUUCUCGGCGAUUGCGUUCAAGCGGGGAACUAAGCGCUCGGAAAGUUGAUCAAGACUCUCCCCACCACCCUGUUCAGAAGGAGAUCAUGAGUAAUAUAUAGCAACCAACAGGGGGAAAGCAUGCCUAGGCCUAGCUUUUACUUCAACUAAGACUAAGUACAACUUUGAGAGGAGAAUGGAAAUUAGUUACAGGUAUUUCUUGGUCUCUGCCACCGCGUGCGAAAACCUUGUAAGCUUCAGAUCUCUUGGCAUCGUCAAAGGUCCAACCUUGGAACAAUCCCCCGUGCCUUUCCGUCAGUGCCCGAUCAAUCACCAGCUGAAACAAACAGAAGCCGGAUGAUAUAUGGAACACCAAUAAUUCGUGAAGCGAGAAAAAUUAGCACAAACUAAUACUAGUAUUCAAAGAGUGUUCAUACAUCAGAAUCAGAUACGCAGCAAUGCGCUGCGAUCGUUUGCGCAGUCUCUGAAGCACGCUUCAAGUCAGAGGAGUAGACGGCAGCUGGCUUGGCUUCUUCCGACAGACGACGGGCAACCUUGAGGGUUUGAACAAAAUCAGAAUCACGUACAUAAUCUCUAAGUCAUGAUCUCACAAAGUAUAUAUAGCGUACCUUGGUAGCUUGCUGCCUACCAGUUUCGUUCAGCUCCUGAUCGAUCCGUCCCUGUUGAAACUUAAAAUAAGCCUUAACACAUGUUGUAUUGCAUCGCAGAGGGAGAAUCAUAUCUAAGUGAUGCGAUAAGUAGCAAGCUGUGACAGGACAGGAUGAACAAGAAGCGACCUGAAUGAUGCGGGAGACGUUCCAAUCCGUCUGUCCAUGGCGCACCAACACCACCUCCGCGAAGUGCUCGCCGUGCGUCGACGCAGGUGCCAUGAUCGAUCGGCCGGCGUUACUGCUGCAGAGGGAAGGGGAGAUGGUCGCUCUUGCUCUAGCUGCCUUGCAGAGGUUCUUUGAAAUCUGGAACCUCUCUGAUCUCUUGUGCUAUAUGAUCUAGCUGCCCUGCAGAGGGAAGGGGCGACUUUAUAGAAAGGAGGCCAGAGGCACAAGAGAGGAAACGCCGCGGCGAACCCUAUCCAUCUCCAUGUACGCGACGCGAAGUAGGCCAUUUCCGAAGGGGCGAAGUAAGCGACGCACGCGACGCGAAUCCUAUCCACCACGAAGAGGCCAGAUUGCUUCGACUCCAUGCCAUCACGGUGGCGGGGUUGACUAACAAAUUAGAAACACGGUUUGAGCCACAACAGCCAUUCCAACAGCAGGUUGGUUUCCAUUCUAGCCAAGCCAUCCAUCGGACGUGUCUUUCCAACAGCAGCUUCCGGAAGGCUCUGGAAGGCUCUGGAAUCACAAGCAUAAAGCCUGCGCCUGGUCGGCGGACAAGCAUAAAACCUGAGUUGUCUUGUUCAUGAUAAGUACAAACCCCCGUGCACUUCUUCUCCACCGAGACCCCCGCGCCGGCCCUGCUUUCCCGUCCGUCCGAUCGAGCGGGUCCGGCCGUCCACAAGCAAGUUGGUAAGCGCAUGGAAUUUUGCAAAAAACGCCCUUCAGUUCUCCGCUAAUCUACUUCGGAUCUAGGGAGGCCCUUUGCCAACCGUAACCACGUUCGAUUUAUUUGCGGCACACCCCAUUGGUUCAAAAAUAUUUCAACACUAAGAAGAGAAAAUUCCAAUUCCACGUCGCUUUUUAAAAAAUCACCUGCUGGUCAUUUUGCGAAGAACCCCCAACCGCAACCGUGCCGCUAACACACGCUUGGUCUCGAGCCGCCGCCCCCUCCUAAUUCUCUCCGCAUCCCUCUCUUUCUCACCCUCCCGCCCUCCCCGACGGCCGCCGCACACUUUAGUAGGCAUGGUUAGUGUCUUUUGAUGUUCUUAAUGCCUGCUACUGGUUCAGAUUUGUUUUUUUCCCCUUCUGUAUUUCACUAGGUUUGGUAGUAGCUUGUAGCCUCGCCUUAUUCAACCUUAGCAUCAGUAAAUGUAGGUAAUGGAGUUAUAAAAAACUGAUAAACCAACCACUUCAAUAAAUUGGUGUCUUCCCAAUUCCAACUCUUGGUGCUUAUACUAAAAGCAAGCAUCGGACUGAAAAUUUCUACAAAAAAUUAGCUUCAAGAUCACUAGCUACUAUAUUUCGAUCAUUUGAUUUCUUUUCCUUUUUUUGCAAAAGACCAUUUGAUUUCUUGAUGGUGAUGAGUUAACUGUGUUGUGAGGUGAGACAAUCGAUUGCCUCACAUAAUUCGUGAUAUUUAGACCUUUAGUAAAACGGCUUUCCGAGAAUAUUGUGGAUUGCUUCAAUUUUUACAGCUAAUACUUGCAAACUCUGUAUGUGUCAUUCAGACAGCUUGAUUGCAUAUGACCUCCCUCAGCAAUACAUUAAUUUUAUGACAUACUUUUCAGGUUAGGUUGGAGAAAAAGAUGGCAAACUGAAGACUGCGCCAAUAAAAACAAAUUUUCAGCUUAUGCUUCAAUAAUUUUCUAAAUCCUAUUGUCAUUAAUUAGUUUGAAGAAACGAUGGGAUCUGUAACCUCGUAAAGCUACACAUUUAUAUGGAGAGACUCAAAAGACUUUCUGGUUUGCGCAUGUCAGCAGUGAUUAAAACAUUGCAUAGUUCUUUCUAUUUAUUAUCAUGUAGUUUCAGCUUUUGUACCAGUUGAUUUGUCUAUGAAAUUAUGUGCACCGGAUUAAGGAAAGGUUAUGCCAAAAAUUGACGUAGAAAAUGAGGCUGUGAUUGUACGAGUUCGAAAUGGUGCUAGCUCAAUGACACCAAGACAUGAGCAAUAUAAUCUAAUUAUCCAAUUUCCAUCGGUGGACAUGUGAUUUCCACCAUCGAAACUCUAAAAUUACAUUAAAAAUUGAGCCAAAGAAAUUAUUACACAGCCGUGGGAAGCCUGCGUGAACCGGUGAAACCUAAUUAUUACAUAUGUUGAUGUUGAAUGUGUUGCUAAAUCUUAUUAUUUGUUCUAUGAACAUGGGUCCAUGAUAUUGUGUAUUCUAUUUUGACCCUGACACACAUACAUAUCAAGAUGCAAGGUGCUGUGAUGAAUUAUGUCCUUGACCUCGAGAAGAAUUGUUAUCUUCAUGCAGAUCUCGCAAAAUCCAACUCCAGAAUCAUGUCCUUGACCUCGAGAAGAAUUAUUCUCUUCAUGCCUUAAGCUCCAGGACAUCUUUCUUGCUCCACUAUGUGGUUCUUCGUUAAUGCUGUCACACUUUUGAUCUCAUCAGAUGAUGCUUCACCUUAUUCUUGUGAGAAAAGAACUAGGAAACCAAUGUGAUUUUCUGAUUCAGGUAUCAUUCAAGUAGCUUUUGAGACUGUAUGUCAUGAAAGAAAACCAUGUGUAUUUUACACCUUGUUGAUCUAUGCAUGAUGAUAUCAGCACUUUGAGCUUACAGUAGCUCCACUACUACUGCUGAUAGAGUUUGUUAUAUCAGUCUACCCAGCUACCAACAUACCGACACAAAACUGGACAUUCAUAAAUUUAUUUUGAAAAUUUCAAAGCCAUCCUUUGGGACUUGGCUGUGGAAAUAUUGCUAUAAUGCUAGAGCAUCACUGGAGUAAAUUGCCAAUAGUUCUUAAAAGUCAACAGCAGGUUUUUUCCCUUUUUAACUAUGUGGGGGUGUUUGGUUCCCAUGUACUAAACUUUAGUCCACUAUUUUGGUGCACUUUUAAUCCCUAAACACCCAAACAGGUAGACUAAAGUUUGGACUAAAGACUUUAGUCCUCUAGUCCACAAAACUGGACUAAACUAGACUAAAGGAUGGUGGGGACACAUCUGCCCCUCAUUUAUUGCCCUCUCUCCCACCCGGCUCCCUCCCGCUGCCUCCCGCUCGGUCCCCGCCACCGUCGCUGCCUGCCGCCCUCCCUCCCGCCCGCUCUCUACCACGCGCGCCGAAUGUGGCGGCGGAUCCUGGCCGCACGGAGGCAGUCCCCCUGCCUAGUCUGCUGCGGUGGCGGUGCUAGUGCGUGGUGGGUAGACGAGCGACGCCCCCGGCCUCCACCCGCACCCGCUCCCCCUUAGCUCCGAGCGCAGCCAACGGCUGCCGCCGAGGGUGCCCCGCGCGGGGUGCCUCCGUGCGAUGGCGGGAGCCUACGGCGGACCUCCAUAGCCAUAGGGCGGCGGUGCUGGGCGGCUCGUCGGUGCUCAACCCCGCCCAUGGCAGUGGCUGCCCGUGGUUUGGGUUGUGUUUUGGGGAUUUUGAUUUGGCGCAAGGGAUUGAUCUGCGCUGGGCACUCAUCCCCCACCGCCGCCUCGCGCGAUGGAGGAUCCGCCGCCACAUCCGGUGCGCGCAGCGGGGAGUGGCGCAGCGACGGGGAGGCCUGCGCCUUGAGUGCCAUGUGGGCACAGGAGCGGAGGGGAGGCUGGGAGGGAGUGCCAGAACCAGAAGUUGGCAUAGGGGUACUGGCAGCAGGGGUAUAAAUGUCUUUGUUCAACAGCAUUUAUGGACUUUAGUCCAUUUUAGUCCAUGGAACCAAACAGAGGUGGGACUAAAGUUUAGUCCAUGGACUAAAGGAACCAAAUAGGGCCUAACUAGAAAUAUACAAUGGAUGUUCUCACAACGGCUGUUCUGUCCGAGCCCUACAGAAGAAGGCACCAUAGAGUCCAAGAGACCAGCCCCCGCGUCGCCCCCCACCGGGCCACUCGGGCGGCGACCACCCUCUAGCCACCGUCAGCCACCUCUACCCCCUUCUCCCUCGCUGUCGUAGGAGGAAACCACCAGGAGCCUGCGCGGCUCCCUAGGAUGGUGAUGGCGGGGUCUCUCUCGUCGCGGCGUGCUCCGGGUGGAACGCGGCAGCGGCCUCCCUUCUCCUAGCGGCGGCACGCUCGUCCUUGACCCGCGAUGUGUGCUUCCGUGGGCUCGACGACCGGAUCUGGUGAUGUUGAGGGUGGGUCCGGCGAGCGCGUAGCGGGCCCAGCCGAGGGAGCUCGGGCACCGCGGUGGCGGCCCUCAGUGGUGGCGGGGGCCCUUUCUGGUGGCCGGCGUGUGGAUCCACGACAUCGGAGGCUGAUGCCUGUGAGGCCAGGGCGGAUCAGGCGAACCCACAGCCAGGACAUGGCUCGGCCACCGUGGGCCAUGCUGACUCCCGGCGGCGGCGUGCGGCCACAGUACAGGGGCGGAGACGGAGGAAGGGGGCCACACAGGGAGCGGCUUUGGGGCACAGGCUGCAGUCGACGCGGGAGGUCGGGUCAGGCAUUCGCAGGGCUAGGGAACCCGUGCUGUAGUGGCCCGGAUGCAAUUGCGGCUGGCGCACAUGGAGGUCGUGAGGUGCGGCAGCGCCGGCAAGGACGUGCGGCUAGAGGUCGUGCAAGCGAGGAGGUGCGGCGGUGGCGUGGAGGCUACUCGUGUGGUGCCGUUGCAGUGGUGCGAGGAUCUACGCCGAUGGUGGUGGUGAGCCAUUGUUGCGGGAAACUUUUUGUGUGCGCACAUGGUACAACUGAGAUUUCGGCGGUGGCAAGGUGUAGGUGAAGUUAUUGGAGUAGCUCGGUGGAACCAUGUCACCUUUGAUGGCAAAGCAAGUCCGGAUCCUUGGUGUGGAGUCCAGCGACGGAAGUGGCGAGACCCCGUUCGCUUUAAGUUUGUGUGUCCGAGGAGUGGUGUGCGGCGGUGGAUGUGGUGAUGCCCCCACGCGUUUCGAGUUGCCUUGGAGGGUCAGGAUCCGGUGCGGCGUUUUGAUUGUUUGGUGUGUACGGUGCGGCAAUGAUGCUUCGGCGUUGGGUCCUGCAGAGCAGUGGCUUUUUCGGUGUGGUGCAGUGUGCUCCUCCUUUAACUUCUGCUGAUACAAAGCUGUGGAUUGGGAGAUCGAUGACUGUGUGUUUAUGACCUGAGGACGACAGAGGCACGGUGGAGAAACCUUGGUAGCUAUACGGCUUGCAGCAGACUGCGGCGGUCAGUCCUGCAUGGCAGCGGCUGGUUCAGCGUGGGACAUCGUUGGGGAUGACGGUGCUGGCGAUAAGGGCUACUUGUCGGUUUUUCCUGCUGGGUGGUGGUGGUGUGGCGUGGUGGUCGCUGCUCAAGCUUUAGCGUUGCGUGGCUUGCAUCGAUGUCUCAAUCGACCGGUCGUAGAGUUCUUUUUUGUUUUGAGUUGGGUUGAGUCGGCAUUUCUAUUGGGAGCUACUUUGGUGACUCUGCUGGUGUACCUAGUCUGGAAUCUUUUUUCUUUUUAAUAUAAUCCGUAGCUCUCCUAACUCGUUCGUUUCGAAAAAAAUACAAUGGAUGGUAUGCUGCACACUAAACUAGCCACUAGGCUGAUGGCUAAUGCUCAUGUUUCUGUUCUGUUAUAGCCACUAGACUGAUGACCUAUGCUCAUGUUUAUACAUAUGAGAAUUAUGGCGGCACUAAACAAUAAACUUUCGUGGCAAAAGAAAAGAAUAAAAUGAAGGGUCGUAGACAUGCCUGUUUCCAAUUUCUCUCUUGACAGGCUAACAUUGAUGAGAGGACUACUUAGACUCCCUGGUACAGUUCUCCUAGGAGAGGCCUCUGAAUCUGCUGAAAUGUCUAGCUGAAGGACUCUACAAAAUAAAAGAGAAUGACUGCAAAUUUAUUUGCUGAAAGCCUGCAUCAAUCAUCAAUUACACUGCAUUGUGUUAACAGUAGGCCAUGUUAGCUAUUAUGUAUCAAAAAGAUCAAAUUAAAUUUGAACAUGAGGAUCAAGAAAGAGAUGAAACGACCUACUAUGUGCCAAGAAAUUAUCUGUAUGUUUAAACUCUGAAUUAUCAAACAAUUCUAAAUUAAGCUGGGUUACAUAAAAGGAAAAGGUGUGUACUCCAUAUGAGCAUGGGCUUCCUACAUUUAAGGUACCGAAUUACUGAUAAAGAAAACAUUGCAGAGAAGAGUGACAUAUACACAAUGAAACUGGAUCGCACAGAUGGUAGCAUGGCGCAGGGUAAGAAGCAGGCACGGAGUGACGUUUUUUAAAUUGAUUUAAUUUAGAAUAAAUACAACAAUAUUCUCACGUGGUAUCUCUGCUGCUGCACAAAUAAUAGUAACACAUAAAAGGGGAAGGUUUGAGAUAACGAGGAAUGGCUACCGAUGGAUGGGACUAAAUUAAAGUUAUCUAUUCUAUUGCCUCCAACUCCAAAGCAACAGGGUAGAAUCAAACACUUUACACUUCAGGGUUACAUUCACAACUGCCUAUGAGAAGGCAUUUACAAGCAGCAGUGCAAUGCUUCAAAUUUCAGUGUGGUAUUGUUUACCCACAGGAAUUUCUAUACAAGUUCAUUAUCAUUGCACUGACAAGUGAGAGCAUUGUAGUAAUGGAAGAAUGGAGGCAUGUUCAACCGUAUCGAGGACUCGAGGUAGCCGAUUGUAUUGCUGAAGGACCGGAAAGGCGACCGGAGGGAGUGAAUGGGAGCUGAUUCAAAUUUUCUCAAAGAACCUCGGCUAAAGUCCCAACAUAAUCCACAAAAUUCUCUUCUAGCAAUAUCAAGUCCCCUUAGCUAUGCAGGAGCUAAUGGAUGGACCUAGGAAUAUUGCUAGGAACCCAAUUUGAGACUAGCGGAAGCAAGAAAAAGCCCAAACAAGUAUCGGGAGAAGAAAUUCGAAAACCAACUAAAAUUUGGAAAAUUCCGGAAAAUCCUUCGGAAACUUCCAAACUUUCGGAAAUUUCCGGAAAACCUUCGGAAAAUUGCAGAACUCCGGAAAACAGCCUUCGUGAGGAAGUGGGAAAAAUCAAUAACUCGAUCAAACGACCUCCAAAAUCACGAAAUUUGAACCAUAGACUCACAGCAACAUACCAAAGGUAUUUCCCAAAGGCUCAAGUCAAAAAGCCCAAGAAUUGGUAAAUAGAUUCAAAGGAUUUGGGAAGGGCACAAGAAAGGGGAUUUUCAGGGAAUCUCAAAAUUCAAGCCAAAUUUGCGAGGGAUUUGAGGGAGAUCACAUUAUAGAUGCUCACACGGGUCACAAAAACAAUUUCUCCUAACAAAUCUCACGGGAUUUGGGCUCAAACGCGAAGAACGCAAAAUCCCAAAAAAUACAUCUGAAAAUACUGAGAAAGAUAAAUUUUAGAUUCAAAGAGGAUGGAACAAUAUGGCACAAAAUUGAUCUUUGGAUUACUCCACCAUGUUUGGUUUCAAGCCACUCCUAAGCACAAUCCAAACUAGGACGACAAAAAGAUCAACUCACACCUCUCUCCCUCUGCCAAAGGCUCUCACAAAGCAAAUGAGAAAAUCCCCACCAAAACAAGCAAAGGGAUGGCUACCCCAACCAGCCAUCUCUCCUAUAUAUAGGCAUCUGGAAAAUAUCCAGAAUACCCUUACAUGAAGCACACAACUCAAAUACCCUCCAGGGCUAAAAUUGUCCAACGUUUUCCUCGUACAUCUGAUGGACCCGGCGCCUUCACGACUUCGCUUCGCCUCGACGCAAGCUUCGUGUGGUGUCACGCAUCCUCUGACUCGACGUCGUCCAGCCGCAUCGAAAUCGUCCCCUGAUUUUGAGGCCAAACUGGUCAAACCCUCUUGCACACCCCGCAAGCGUGACUCAUCCCCGAUUUUGAGGCCAAGCCGAUCAAACCCUCUCGCACGCCCUGCAAGGCAUGAUUCACCCCCUUGUUUUGAGGUCAAACCAGUCAAACCCUCUUGCACGCCGCGUACGACGUGACUCACCGAUGUUGAUGCGUGUCCGGUCUCCGCCAAGCCUUCGACGCCUUCAAGUCUUUCGCUCCUGGCUCCCGGGCCACCUACUCGACUCGCCUCCGUCCCGCUUGACUCGACCGACGCCGUCUCCAUCUCGUCCGUGUACUCUUGCUCUUUCAUGCACCAUAUGGAUCGUCCAUGACUCCGCUUGGACUCCUCGGGUCCCUCGAUCCAAACAUUCAUGCCCACCCUUCACAACGCUAGUACAUUGGUAUGAACCUUUCGCUUGACCUUCACCUCAUGCCGUCGACCGCCAUGUCGCAUCCUACACCUGCACAUCACAAGCCAAGAGACACAACACACAAGAUAUGUUUUAUACAAACACCACAACACAACUCACACAACUCACACAUCUAGUUAGCCGUUAGCAUAAUCAAGUGCAUAUGGAAUAUGGACUCAACCGGUAAAGACUCAAAUCAUCUAGUUAAUCACUCAUCACAAAUAGACCAAGACACAUGUCAACUUGGUCUCUCAAUCUCCUUCAUAAGUGCAUUGACAAAAGAUGAUUUGAAAGCAAAAGAGAACUCAUUCAAGUGCCCAAAAGCCAAAUAAAAGCAAACACAAGGCAACUUGAUAUGAAAAAGGAUCAUGCAAGCUCUGAACAAAAAACUCUAGGUUCCCAAAGAAGAGACAAAAAACUUAACACAACCGAAGAGUCAAGAAAAAGACACAAGAGCUUCAUGAAUCCCAAAAUGCCAUCAAAGCCAUUUCAAUAUUUGUCAAACGCUCAUCACAAUUAAAUCAAGGUUCAUAUCAACUUGAUUUUCUCAAUCUCCCCCUUGAUGAGUGUGUUGAAACCAUUCAAGCACAAAGAAAUGGUUUGAGAGGCAAAAGUCAAAAAUCUCAUCCAAGUGAUCGAAAGCUAAGUAAAAACUAAGAUCAAAGUUACUUGAGAUGAGAACAACCAUAAAAGCCAAGUUGUGAAACCAAUUAGGCAAAGCUCCCAUUCAAGUGAUCGAAAGCCAUGUAAACGCUAUGAUUAAAGUCACUCGGCAUGAGAAGCAUCACAAAGACCAAAUCAACUUGGAAAAGUCUCAGUUCCCAAAGACAUGGGCAACGGCUCGACACAACCGAGACAAAGAACACAUGAUCUCUCAAGAAGAGGCAGAAAGGGCUCAACACCAAUCAUGUGAAGAUCGAAAACACAUGAUCCCUCAAGAAGAGGCAGAAAUGGCUCAAAACCAAUCAUGUGACGAUCGAAAACUCAAACCAAAUGCCAGCUCCUCAAGAAGAGGUAAAAAGCUCAACACGACCGACAAAAGAGCAAAAGAGAGCACAAAACUAGCACAAAGCU
rnacentral:lncRNA from 1 species